rnacentral:lncRNA from 1 species
GCGAUACGAAGACAAAAGAGAAUGUUACCGACAAGCCAAGGAAUGCCUGGAGCUACCAGAAGUUACAACAGAUUCUCCCUCUGAGCCCUCAGAAGGAACUAAUCUGUUCAACAUCUUGAUUUUGGACUUCUGGCCUCCAGAACUGUAAGAUAAUAAAUUUCUGUUGUUGAAGUCACCCAGUUUGUGGUACUGUGUUAUGGUAACCCUAGGAAACUAAUUCGGGGCAGUAAUAGUGCUUAUCUCAUGGAGAUGUGAGGAUUAGAUGAGAUAUAAGCAAAGGGCUUAGCACAGUUCUUGGUACAUAGUAAGUGCUUGAUGAUUGUGGGUAGGACGAACACCCUUGAUGUGGGGGCAAUCGAACAACGCCUCACAGGAGCGAUGGCAUUUGCCUUAAGGCUUGAAGGCUGGGUAGGGUGUGGGCAUUGAGAAGGUGUAGGAAGAGGGAUUCAUGGAACUGUCAUUUGCAGGGACAUCUCGGCCCCAGAGAAGACUUAGGCUGAGCCCUGAGGUUCUUGCCUUCUGGCCCAGGGGCAAGUAACCGUUGGGGAAUGUGGAGGAUUCCUGUUAUUUUUACAUUCCUUGUCUUUUGAUAACAGCCACUCAGUCUUCCUUUGGAAAAGUCACCCCUCCCCUGCUCUAAUCAUGGCUCUGUCCUUCCUCAGGCCAGUGAGAGGUCUCCAGCCUGCUGGGCCUCAUGAAGAGUCCAGGAGGUAGCAUAAGCCCAAACAGGGCCAAUCAGAGUUCUCACUAAGGAUAGAUAUGGAUGGUGAGAAAGGGAGGAUCUCUGAUCCUCUGCCAUGGGGAACAGUAAGGACAAUGAACCUGGUGCUUCUUGGAGCUAUUUUCCCUGACUGUGUCGAGGAAGCCGUCUUUGGGAUGAGGGGAGCAGGCUCAUGUGCAAAUGGAAGUAAAUCUGAGAGUUGGAAAGUGAUGGAGAUGGAUGGAUUGAUGGCUGGCUGGCUGGCUGGCCGGAUGGAUGGAUGGAGAGAGAGAGAGAGAGAGAGAGAGAGAGAGAGCAAGAGAUCUGAAGGCAGUGAUACAGUGUUUGAGGCCCAGGAGCCAGCAUUCCUGAAUCCAGAGGUCCAUGGACCUUAAAGUAAUGAAAACAAAUACUUUUUUUCCCCCUUACACUACUUUGUGUUGGGGUUGAUUGCAUGCAUCCAGGAGAGUCCUGACUUCGUCAUUAUCUUCAGGCACCAGCCUUACCCCAGGGCAAGCAGCUCCUGGGUAUGAACUUUCAAGAGGGUGAUGUAGGUGGUCAUGGUGGUGACAGUGGUGCCUGUUACAGCCUAGUGGGUCACAGAGGCCAAGACGGGCCUCCAGUGCAAUUUCACAUCAAGAUUGGCUUCCGUCUGUGACUUUCCCUCAAAUGUCCUCACUGUGUACUGACAGGUAUUUGCUUCUUUCUCUUUUGACCAAAAUCCACUGUGGGGAGUAAGGCUAGUCCUGCAAAGAAUUUCAGAGAUUUUAAGAAGGCAGAAGCCUUACUUCUCACAUCGAAUGGAGAAUUCCAAGAGUGUGAGUUGGGAGACCUUCAGGACCAUUGGAAUGGGUGUGGAGAGGCAUCCCUUUUCUCUUAAGGUGUCAAGGAGCUAGAUCUUCUUGGCAUUUCCACUCAAGCUUAAUUUCUAGUCCUCCUCAUGUGUGCACCUCAGUGCUGAUUUAGUUGUUUUUCUCAUCCACAGGGAUCACAAGAAGCUCUGGGGUCCAGAUUUUACACGGUCGCCUGUCACCCAACCACGUGUGCAAAUACUUGUAUGCAGAUAGAACUCGAGUUUGUCCAAAGACCAAUCAUCUCUGAACGUCUUCUGCUAAGAAUUUAAUAUAUAUAUUUCUAUUUAGCCCUCUAGUCUAAAGGUGAGUUGUUAGUAUGCGAGGUUCCUGAUAGAAUUGAACACUUUCAAAAUUUUAUUUUUCAGUAACUAGUUAAUGUGGGAACACAUAAUGUGUACUAAAUUGUACAGUUACACUUAUGUGUAUCAGUUUUGUGCCAGGAGGGUUGAGGGAAUGGUGGGUACAUCAUGGCUGCUUUUCACCCAUUGAAAGUGCUAUGCUCCAAGACUUCUUGGGAGAAUUAAGACUAUAAAGCUGACAUAGGCCAGGUGACACAGGAACACAUAGUGAACAUUUGUAAGCUUAUGGCAAUGACUACCAUAGUGUCUUUACAAACUGGUUUUGACCACAUGUUCAUAAAAAUCCUAGUUACUGACUGAGGGCAAUCAGUGGGUUCUGCCCUUUUAUUGUCUACUCAAACCAGAUACAUUGUUUAUGGCUAGAAUAGUGCCCAGCACAGUGUAGGCCCUCAUUAAGCAGCUGGUGGAUUCCUUAAUGGGUAUUGGUAGUGAACUCUGUUUCUCUUCUCUCUCCAUGUUCCAGCUCUGUUGGACUUCCCCUAUUAGUUCCCAGAAUGCUCUACACUUUUUUUUACCCCUCGGGCCCUUUGCACAUGCCAGUCCCCCUGCCUAGAACACUGUGCACUCAUCCAGCAAGUAUUUAUUGAGUGAUAAUUAUGUGUUAGGUAGGCAUUUGUACAGGUACUGGGGCUCCCACAGUGAACAAGACGAUGGAGCUUGUGUCGUAGCUGGGGGAGACUGACGAUAAAGAAAAAUCAGUACAUAUAUGUUAUAUCAGAUGAAGAAAAGAUCUGCAGAGAAAAAUAAAGCUGGGAAAGAGGAAGUUGUGUCUAUGUGGGUAGGGGCUGUUGUUGCAAAUUUUAAAGAGAAAGUGACAGCUGGCCAACUAACUGCUACACCCCCUUCAGGCCCUCUCUGCACCCCUAGACUACGUGAACACUCCUUGUUUCAGGUUUCCAGACCAUGUGUACUUCCUUUGUCAUUACGCUCUUUAUAACUGCGGUUGUUUUAUGGAAACUUUUUCCCUGCUGGAUUGGGCUUCACAAAACUGGGGCCAUGUCGUCUUAUUUACCACUCUGUUGCUGCCCUCGGGGACGGCCUUGCCCGUGACAGACAUUCUGUGGCUAUUUACUGGGUGAACAGAUGAGGGAAAAUAGGACAUCACUUAGAAAACAUCCUAUGUUUUCCUGCUUGCUAUGUGUACAGUAGAAAUAAUGUAUUGACUCUUUGGCCGUUGUACAUAUUAGGAGCUUUGGAAAGCAAAAUAUCAAAUAAUUAAGUGAGCCUAAAAUUAGUGUAGAGCAGGGCUUCUCAAACCUGAAUGUGCACACUAGCCACCUACAGACCGUACUUUCCAGAGAUGGCUGGACGGCACAUCCCAGCCCACGUGGUCUUCUUAUGGUAACGUUGACAUUUCUCCCAUUGAGACAUGGGGUCUCUUUCUCUCCCUUCCAGUCUGGGUGGAACCAUGGCCAGAGGAAGUGACACUGUGUGACUUUUUGAAACGUCUACUUUUGGAAAUCAUGCUGUGAAGAGACUUGAUCUCAGGAUCUUUCUUGGAGCUCUUGGAAAGUAAUUUCCCUUUCUUAUGAAUGUGUAAGCCUGGAGUUGCUGAGGGUCCCUCAUGUGGUAGCAAACUGCUCAAGAGUGAGACCCAUAUGUAGGGAAGCAGAGCUGACAUGGAGAGACCAAAUCUUGAUGAUUGUCUGAGCUGCAUGAUCCGGAUAUACCUGAAGUCCCCUUAGAGUUUUCGGUUAGAAAAGCCAAUAAUCCCCUUCCUUUUUUUUUUUUUUUUAACUACUUCAAGUUGGGUUUGUGUCACCUGCAUCAGAUGAGGGGUGCCUGGGUGGCUCGGUCGGUUAAGCGUCUGACUUCGGCUCAGGUCAUGAACUCGCGGUUUGUGAAUUUGAGCCCCAAGUCGGGCUCUGUGCUGACAGCUUGGAGCCUGGAGCCUGCUUUGGAUUCUGUGUCUCUCUCUGCCCCUCCCCCACCCCCCCAAAACAAAUAAACAUCAAAAAAAUCUUUUUAAAAAAAGACGAUUCAUGAUGAAUAUGAAUUCGUGCCAAUAUCCUUGGCAACACAGUCUAUAGACCUAGCUUUUGAAAACUAUUUAGCACUAUAAAAAAACAAGGAUAUUGCUGUUCCUACUUCCCUAAGAAUAUCCUCGAGGAGCCAUAUCCAUCAAUUACUAUUAAUGAGCACAUCCCAAAUUCCGGCCCUUUGAUGAUCUGGGCACCCUCGUCAGGUAUUUCCGCCCUCUUCCCUCCGUGACCCCUGCAGUUUCCCAGGCUACCCUGACUCCAAGAUAACCUACACCUGUUCUCAGCAUGUCCUGCGGGGACCCAGGCGAACCCCUUGGAGAUUCUGAAUGAUUCAUCUUGUACAGAACCCUGGGUUUGCCUGGGACUCUCAGGGGAGCCGUGUGAGAAACUCUAAAAUACACAUGAAUGAGUAAAUCGGGACUGAGUGCCAAUUUGGAGCGAUUAAAGGAUCCCGUGAAAGCUGAACCCCUGGAGAGAUGUACAUGCUUCUGUUGUAUAAUCCCGUAAGUGCAAAGGGGCAUAGGAGUAGCCUCUUUUGAUGGAGCGCCUGUGCACACCCACUCUUGCCCCUUGGGUCCUUGGCACCCGCAGAGCUCCUGUCAGCACGGAGGCCAGCCCCGGGCUCUCUCCUAUCACCCUGGGAGUGUCUUCUAAAGAAUUCCUCCAGAGUCGUGGUUCUGGGCUGCGCUGAUUACUCCUAGUAAGGUUAGCCCUGGCCCCUGGCUCUUCAGGGCAGGAAUGAGUUGCCAGAAGGGUCACAUUCUUCCUCGGAGGCAGUUCACUGUCCUUUCUUUUAGCAGGGGGUGGUGAUGUGUUUUUCCCUACGUGCCGCUCCUCUCUCGCUAAAUCUCCAUCUAACCUCAAGACUCUCGGAUGCCACCUUAUCUGGGAAUCCAUCCCGGGCCCUCCUUUUUCACUCAGGCCUGUCUAGCUUCUGUAGCCUCAGAGCUUCCGGGACUCGUUAUACGGGCGUCGUUAAUGAAGUUUUGGGCACAAUGUCUGGUAUAGUGCUUCGGUGGUGAUGAGCCGGGAUUCAGAACAGCUUCUUCAACUCCCCUCUUUCCCGGACGGCGUCUAAAACUGUCCAGCGGGCUGUGUUGUAACCCCACGGGCUCCAGCCGAUGGGAAGUCAGGAUCUCACCUCCCUCCCUUCUGGAGAGCUGGGUGGCUAAACCCUGGAGCCCAGAGACCUGCUCUGUCCCUUGGUAGCUCGCUUCUCAUUACCUCACUUUUCUUAUCUGGACAAUGGGGAUCACGAUGAGUUCUACUCCUCAGCAUUGUCAUGAAGAGUAAAUAAAGUAUCCAGGGACAGCUAAGUUUCAUAGAGUGCUGGGCACAUAAGAACUCAGCAAUGGCAUGGCUCCUAUAACGUCAUCAAUGAAAAUCUAAUGAAUAUCGAAUAGGAGACAGGGCAGAGUUUUAGGUUCCAGCUCUGGGCCUCGCGUGGAAUUGACUUCUCGGUGACUCGAGGUGGUGUCCAGACCUUGCUGUGUGUGACCCGUUGCCUGUGUUCAUCCGCUCAGCAGCUGUUCACUGCCUGGCUGUUCCUCGUCUACCAUAUAUAAGCCACAGCUCCCAUAGUGGCGUUGUGGGAAUCGGGAGUGAGGCCGGGAAAAUAUUUUGCAGUUUUGGCUGAACGAUGGGUUAGCAUUCUAGACUGUUUAUUUUUCUUCCCUAGAAUUUGCUUUGCCAGCUCCCAGCCCUGUGGUCAGGGGCAAGAGGUCUUUACUUGCUUUAAGAGAAAGCCGAGGGUGAAAAUAAUACUCCUGUUUCUGCUGUUUCUGAAACAGAGGAACCGUAAAGGAGGCUUCAGAGAAAAGUGUGUGGGUUCAGACAAUGCUUUCUGGCUGGUAAGGAAUGAAACCACAAGGAUUAGGAGGCACAUUGCACUUAAAAAAAAAAAAAAAAAACAGGAGCAGGCAAAGGACUUAACUCUACAUGUACUGGGGUGAAGUUCAAUGUUCGUAAUCUAGUCUUUGGCUCUUGUAGUAUAGUGUUCAGUAAAUAUGUAUAUAUAUUUAGCAUGUAUUAUGUGUAGAAUUCAGCACCCUUUGCCUGACUUUAGAUGGAGGGGCAUUUGUUAUAUGUAAUACUUUGACCAUAGAGUAGGAUUCUGUAAACAGAACUUCCCCCCUUGAAUUCUUUCUGCCCCUUAGAUUCUGCCCAAAUAUUUAAUGGCAAGUAUCCUAUAAAACUCUGGCAGGCUGGGGUACCUGGCUGGCUCAGUCAGUAGAGCAUACAGCUCUUGAUCCUGGGUCACGGGUUUGAGCCCCACGUUCAGCGUAAAACAACAACAGUGGCAACAACAACAACAGAGAACUCUGGCAGGCUGUGGUUCAAUGUGCUGACCGUUGGUCUAACGGUCGUUCAAUGUUGGUUGCUUACAAUUUUCUAUCAAAUCUGAAUGCUGUUGGCGUUUUAGGUAGAAUGACUAUUCUUUUUUGCUGGAGUGUCCAUUGCAUUCCCACUAAAAGUCAGUAACGGCCUCCAGUUGUUACAACUGAAAAUGUUUCCCCCCAUUUCCAAAAGCCCCGUAGGGGGACUGUGCCGCCCCCCAUUGAGAACCACUAGAUCACAUAGCAUCUUGUUUAAUGAUCGCACGGAAUUGAGUUCAGAACUUUCCCCACUAGACGUGAAGCUUCAUGAACGCUGCACAGACCCAUGUCAGGUGUUAGUCUCUGAUGGUUUUUUUCUGGUGCUUAGAACAGGGUUUGACCCUUAGUGGGUUCUCGAUAGAUACUGUGCUGGGAUGAUGGCAAUGCCAUAUAGUACACUAUCAAUUUUACAUAACUUAGUCAAACUGCAUUGCAGAGUUUUUUGUAAGCAAGGGUGAUAUUCAAAAUAUUUAACAAAUAGGGGCACCUGAGCGGCUCGGUCGAUCAAGUGUCUGACUUCCGCUCAGGUUAUGAUCUCAUGUCUCACAGGUUUGAGCCCUGAGUCGGGCUCUGUGCUGACAGCUUGGAGUCUGGAGCCUGCUUCUGAUUCUGUGUUUCCUUCUCUCUCUGCGCCUCCCCUGCUUAUGCUCUCUUUCAAAAAUAAAGAAAUAAACAUUAGAAAAAAUAUUUAACGAAUAAUAUUGCACACGCUCUGACCAAUAAGAACUUAUUGGAGAGUCUGGAGGCCUUGCUGGCACAGGAACCUUUAGUUGCUGGCUCAUGGGACAGUCCAGAGGGUCCCAGGAAUAGGAGACAGGGAGUGAGGUGAUAGGAGGGGACAGUGUCAAAUUUCAACAGCCAGCAAGGCACUAGGAGAAGAUGCUUCUGAAUAUCAUCAGAGUGGCUAUUGUGUAGAGUGCAGCAUACAGAACGUUUUCAGGACACCCCGGGAGCUAUUCAUCCGUUGACCAGAUAUUGUGAAAUAUCUGUACAAAAGUUCUCUGGCUUCCAGGCUUUCUCUACUUUUCCCCCCAGAAGUCUCUCUUCAUUUUGUUCAGUCAAUGCCAGACCAGAUUGUUCAAGAAAAGAGUGAGAAAGAACAUGGGGGUGCCCCCUGUAUUUCAUGCCCAUAACCCACAGGCAAAUGCGUGUUCCUCGGGAGCCUGGCAAGAUUCCCUGUGUUAGCAGUGCCUUCCCACCCACCUGGCUCCUGCGGCUGAGGCCCUAACCCUUUUUUCCAGGUGAGCCUCGUAGUCUUCUAAGUCUCUAGAAUUUGGCUCAGCAGUUGACUGUGUAGGAAGGACAGUGACAAAGUUUUGGAUUCUGGGACACCUGGGUUUUAGUCCCGCCUCUUCCCUUACCGGAUGGGCGAUUGUAGGCAAAGACAAAAAAAAAAAAAAGAAAAAAUCACACACUCUGCGUUGGGUGCCUGUGGACAAAUCACGUAGCCCCUCUGUUUCAUUUACUGUAAAAUGAAGGAUCCACACUGGCUGCUCUCUAGAACUCUCCUUGCUGAGUCGUUAGAUCCCCUGGGUUGUGGAGGUGGAAGGCAUGUCCUUGUGUGGAUCCCAGGCCCACUGCUCUGGCCUCACUUGUGUGGCAGGGACCUGGGGGCCCGUGCAUGGGAUCCAGGCUCUGUCCGCCCUCUCUUGGCUUAGGCCAGAGGGCCUCCAGCCCUAGAGCUUAGCUCUGAGGUUCUCCCACUGGAAACGAUGGCCACGACCGCUUGCUCCUCCGUGUCCUCCCUUGCACCCCUCUCUCCUCCUCCCUCACUUUCUUAAGCUGUUGCUCUUUCUCUGUUCUCUCUCUCCUUCUCCAUCCUUGGGGGGCCUCAUCCCCUCACCUGCUUCAACUCCAAGGAAACCAAAACACUAAGGCCCCCGCCCUGUCGUCAAACUGGGUCCUUGGGAAGUUCCUUAAGCUCUGCUUGACUCAAUUUCCUCAUUUAAAAAUGUGAUAGUCCUUCCCACCUCAAAGGGUUGUUGGGACCGUUCAGUGAGACUGUACGUGUGAAAUACUACAGCAGUGUCUGGCCAAUGGGACUUGAGCCUCCUUCGUUAGUAUUUCCCUUUUCCCUGCAGCAAGUUGACUUGGCUCAUGGCAUACAUAUGGGUGUGCUAUGAUUAAUCUGCCCUGGAAAGUUUGCAUUCUCUUUCCUUCGAGCAUUAAAGUGCGUGAGUAACCUACUCGCUGAGCUUUCUUUUUUCAUGCAGCCUCUUGCCGUUCCCAUUCCUUCCUGCAAACACACACAUUCUUCAGCUUGAUUAAACUAUUUGGAGUUCCGGGGCGCCUGGGUGGCUCAGUCAGUUAAGCGGCCGACUUAGGCUUAGGUCACGAUCUCACAGUCUGUGAGUUCAAGCCCCGCGUCGGGCUCUGUGCUGACAGCUCGGAGCCUGGAGCCUGUUUCAGAUUCUGUGUCUCCCUCUCUCUGACCCUCCCCCAUUCGUGCUCUGUCUCUCUCUGUCUCAAAAAUAAAUACACGUUAAAAAAAAAAAACUAUUUAGAGUUCCAAGACUCACUAGACUUUCUCAUUUUUCCUUGUCUCUGUAUCUGGCCAGCAUGCCCUUUCCCCAAUCUAUCUUUUUUUGUCUUUGGUAGUGGUGGGACAGAUUGACCUCUUAUGAGUAGAUGCUUCAGGAAUUGGCUCACACGCCACCUCCUCCAGGAAGACUUCCCUGGUUGCUGCCACUCCCCAAGGUAGAGUUAAGUGGUUUUUCGGUUGUGCUUUUUAGAGACUGUUGUCACAGGGCUUACACCAUGGCAGUGCCAUUAUUUCUGUUUACUUGUCUCUCUUUUUAAACUGGCAAGUCCUUGAAGGCAGGAACUUUGCUGUAUCUAUCUUUUUAUCCUCAGCACCCAGCCUUUUUCUUUUCUUUCUUUCUUUUUUUGGAAUCUAAUAUGUGCUUAGUAAAUGUUAUACGAAUGAAUGAAGAGGAUGGGAAAAGACGUCCUAAGAACUCUCUAGAAAAGUCGCAAAGUCAUUGUACUAAAGGAGAUUCAUUUUACUAAGAGGAACACUUCUCUGUUCCUGUUUCUUUCCAGAUAUAUGUGCCUACUUUGGGCACAAUUAUAAUAAUUUUGAUUUUUAGAAAGUCCAUAGCUGGUAGAAAGAACAGACUAGAAGGGAUGGAGGUAAGGUGUUAGAGACAAGGAUCCUGAAACACCUGAUCCUCUGAUAGUGACAGGCACAGAAAAAGUACAAAACACACAACUGGGCACCUGAGCACAGGGAAACAGCUUUAAGCCGCACAGAAUAUUCCUACACAGCCCAACAGCUGACAUUCAAAAGGGAUGGCCUGAGUUACUGAAGGUUUAAAUUAUACUUUGAAGAGUCUGCUUAAGAAAACAAAGCUCUAACACCGAUUGAAUUUUUCGUGGAAUAAGUUUCAGUCACCGGGAAACGGCAUGGGACAGUUCAGUCAUUAGGAUGCUACUUGGACAUUUUAAGACGGAAACUAUGUUGUGGGUCUGGAGACGGUUCUGCAAUCUCGUAACGACUUUCACCGAUACACAACAGAAUGGUAAGUAAAAGAUGUCUUUAGGACCUGGCUUGUUGAACUCAUAUGGAGCCCUGGGGGCUUGUUGGCAUUCUUUUGAAUAUUGAUGCUGAGAUGGGGGAGUACAGGAGCUUCCCUCCCUCUCUUGUCAUCAUCAGCCUCCUAUUUUCUAUGCAAGAGGCUGGGUGUAGGAUUUUGUUUGAAGGAAGGCAUCCUCAGCUAAAACAUGCAGUAAGCAUGUUCUUACAGGAGCAUGCAUCCAGAUAUAAGUUCUUAGGACGCAGUGAUUAUGAGCAUCGUCUGAAUGAGUUCAGGUCUGGGUGUCUGGGCUUCACCUCUCCAUACCUCGGUUUACUCCUUUGUAAAAUGUGGAUAAUUAUAGCCCCCGUGUCACUGAGCUGUUGUGAGAAUUAAACUUGUUAAAAUAGGUAAGGCGCUUAGAAAAAUGCUUGGCAUAUAAGAAAUCUAUUUUGCUAUUUGCUAUUCAGGUAGCCCCUUCAUCAAGCCUGCCUCGUAAGGGGUGAGGCAAAGCUUUGAAAGCCAGUGCUCUCUGAGCCUUGAAGAACGUAGGGAGGGGCAGGGCAUUUGAGUCUAAGAGCAAGGGAAGGAGGGGGAAAGAUCACACGUUCGGGCCCUGGGUCGGGACCUCGCAUACACGAGAGGAACACUACGUGGCAAAUAAGUUAUUACUAAGCAGUGUCUCAGGUCAGGCAGCGUGCAAGGUGAGAGGGAGGGGACAGAGCACAGCUGCGGGGAGAAGGGGAAGUAGCUUGAGCCCUGUGUGGGCUCCCAAUCCGUCUGCCUCGCUCACGAACCGGAACUAAUUUCAACUGGCGUCUUUGGAUCUGGGUUUUAGAAAGCUACUCUGGGAAGUGCUGUGGAGGUUAGAGAGUUGGAAGGAGAGGAGAAGGACAGAGUCAGUGGCUGUUUCAGAGAAAAAACACCCAGGGUGGGGUGGGAGGCAUGGGAGAGGACAAAGAUGAUUCCAGAGUUUCCUGGUUUGGGCAACUGGGUGGAUAUGAUGCUGUUCAUCAAGAUAGAGAAGGCAGGAGGAAGAGCAGGUUUGGGUGGGGGAGGUAAUGAGUUCAUUUCUGGGACAGGCUGAAUUUGAGGUGCCUAAGGGAAGUUGAGGUGGAGAUACCCAGUAGGCAGUCGGGUCUGGAGCUCAGCUAGGAAGGGCAGGGCCAGAGAUACGGAUCCCAAGUUGUGAACUUAUAAAUGAGAGUUAGAACUUUGGGAGUGGUUGAGUUCACUCAGGGAAGAAGCGUGAAGUGUUAGAAGAACAAGAAUGGAAUGGCGAGGUCAUCGAAGGCUGGGGGUGGGGCUGAGGAAGGGUUCGGCACGAGAGACCAGGAGGGGCUGCCCAUGUGAGCCAAGUCCUUGGCUUGAGCAGGUAGGACGCACAGCAGCCUUCAGUGGGGCCCUUCCCAGGCCUUGGCUGCCCUGAUAACUUAAACAAAAAGCAUUAUUGCUCUCAAAGGGCAAGAAGGGGUUUGUGAUCUUGAAAUCAGUGUGCUUUGGAGCUGAAUCUCAAGAGAUUUGAUGAUCCAGUGGUGUGUGUGUGUGUGUGUGUGUGUGUGUGUAUGUAUUUAAGUUUUCAAGAUGACAACCUUUAGAACAAAAUGAAACCUGUUCGAAAUCCCAAGAGAUGAUAGAGUGAUCAACGGAGGUCUUGUCAUUGAGGCUGGGGCUGGGUGGCUUCUCUCUAAUGUUUUAGGGCAGCAUACGCACAUUCAUCCCACAUAUAUUACUUAGGUACCAAGUAUAUGGCAGUCCCUGUGCUCAGCUCUGGAUAGAGCUGUGGCCAAAACAGUUUCUGCCCCUGGGGCUAACUGGUUCUCAAUCUUGGCUGGACCUUAGCAUCAUAUGGGGACUAUUGAAAAAUUCCCCCAUGCCUAGGCCGUGCCUCAUACCAGAGAACUCAAAAAUCCUUGGCAAUGCGACCAAGCGGAAGUAGCUUUAAAAACUCUGCAGACUUGGGGGUCCCUGGGUGGCUCAGUCGGUUAAGCGUCUGACUUUGACUCAGAGCUCACGGUUCAUGAGUUCGAGUCCUGCGUCGGGCUCGAUGCUGACAGCUCAGAGCCUGGAGCCUGCUUUGGAUUCUGUGUCUCCCUCUCUUUCUGUUCCUCCCCUGCUCUCACUGUCUCUAUUUCUCUCUCUCAAAAAUAAAUAAAGAUUAAAAAAUAAAUAAAACGAAAAAACCUCUGCAGUUGAUUUCAAUGUGUAGCUACAGCUGAGAACCAGCUGAGUGUAGAUCAUCUAGUGCACCCAAGUAUUUCCACGGAACCCCAAUGGCAGACUCUUGACUCAGUCCAGUUGCCUUAAUUUAUCCCUGAGGGGCCAGGAGUUGAGUUGGCCAAGGUGGCCCAUGAAGGGCCUGGGCUGAGAGCUCCUGUACCCCACUGCUCAGCCAAGGAAGAGUCUUGCACACCGGUGUGGCCUCGGCCUGAUCUGUGCUGUGGCCCUUAACCUGGCUGGCCACCCAGCUUUGAUGUUUAAGUAGAACUCUGGUGAAUGAUUUACAUUGUUCUCUCUUUUCACCAGGGCUGUCUUCUUUCUCUGUGAAAAACCAGUUGAAUUCUUUGUCUAAAUGGGGUAUUCAUUCAGAGGACGCACAAUGGACCUCUUUCACUCGCAACUAAAUCUCUAGUAACAGAGACCAAGGGCCUGCCAGCAACAUCCUUGUGAAACCCGUCCCCGUGCGCCCGGCUUCUGGAAAUGAACCGUGAGCACUGCCGUUUGGAGAAACAGGGGCCCCACAUUGUGUAGGGGGUGGGGCUGAGAGCCACAGACUGCUCUGACGCUGCGGGCAGGUCUCUGAGCUCGCACUGGGGAGCCCUGGAGUUGCUCCCCACAAGGGCAACCAAGCCCUUUUCUCGGUGGGACCCCCAAAAGCAUCAGUCUGGCAAUCACCGUUUAAGCCUGGAAGGGCAGCUGUGUGACUUUGGGUUACUGGCGUGACCUCUCUGAGCCUGAGUUUCAGGCCGAAACAUGGGGGAAUAGGAUUAUCGUGAGGAUUAAAUGACAUAAUACGUGCAAAAUGUGGGGCACCUACGGUUAUCUGCCAUGUCCUAAAUUAAGGCCCUUUGAUAUAUAAUGCAAAAUUGAACCCAAAGAACUAAAGCAGCAAACGAGCUGUUGUGGCUUGUCAUCCCUCAAUUAUAAAUGAGAAUACUGAAGCCCAGGGAAUGGAAGAAACGUGUCCAAUGUUGCACAGUCAUCAAAGGAGAUGGACUUUGAACUCGGGCCUCCCACAGUAAGAGGGCAAGAGUGGAUUAGCUAUUACUAUUUUCUGGAUGUUGCUUUGGAUUCAGACAGGAGGAGAGAAGGUGUGGGGAGUGGGGAAGAAUUUCCUUAUUACUUUGGAGGAUGUAUUCAGAGCCAUGAUACUUAAGCCAGACGCUGCAGAGUUUCAUCCUGGGAACAGAGGAAAAGGAGCCAGUUUCUGCUGGGACCGACUAGGUGCUAGGCAGCACGCGAACCCUUUUUGGGGACACUUGUACAUUAUUUAACGCGCAGGAAUAAAUCUGCAAGGGAGGUGGUAGGGAUUUUUAUCCCUAAUUUGGGGUUGGCGGGGAGGGUUCAGAAGCUCAGAGAAGUUAAGCAACACGCCCAAUGUCACAGAGUCAGUGUUGAAGCCUGACUUUGAACCAGAGUCUGUCUGGCCUGAGAUGCACCUGCUGCUUUGCUUUUGCUGAAUGUAUCCUGUUGACCUUGAGAAAUGAGGUCUUCUCCGUGUCUUCAGUUUACUCUCUCACUUUGUAGGGAUCUCGUCUCCAUUUCUUUUUUUUUUUAUUUUUUAUUUUUUUUUUUUCAACGUUUAUUUAUUUUUCUUGGGACAGAGAGAGACAGAGCAUGAACGGGGGAGGGGCAGAGAGAGAGGGAGACACAGAAUCGGAAACAGGCUCCAGGCUCUGAGCCAUCAGCCCAGAGCCCGACGCGGGGCUCGAACUCACAGACCGCGAGAUCGUGACCUGGCUGAAGUCGGACGCUUAACCGACUGCGCCACCCAGGCGCCCCUCGUCUCCAUUUCUUAGGUCCUGAACAAUUAGAGAGGGUGGCUUCCUAGGCUGUUUGCUUGGCAGCCACGUCGGGAGGAGAGUGGCAGUGAUACUAAAAUUAAUAAUAAUAAUAAUAAUAGCAAUAAUUAUCACAUUGAGCACUGUGUCCCAAGCACUCCAUGUGUUCCAGACACAGUUGCAAGAACUCAACAGACCUUACCUCAGUUUAAUCCGCACAACACUCCUGUACAGUUGGGAUUAUCACUCUUCCUGUUUCUGCAGAUGGGAAACUGGCACAGAUCAGUCCAGCAACUUGCCUAAGGUCACACAGCUAGUCACCGUGGACCUGGGAUUUGAACCAUGCAGUCGGACCCAGAAGCUACUUGGCAGAACUUGCUGGAAGCAGAUGUGGUCUUUGUGCCUCCUGACCUGGCUUCCGGUUGGCAGCUGACACAAGAGGUGUUCCAUGGGGGAACGUUCCCUGGGGAAUGACUCUCCUGUCACUUCAUCUUGAGGAAGGGGUUGUUCCUGGUAUGCGGAGUUUCACUGAUGUUGAGAGGGUGCUUACUCUUUCCGCCUGUAGGUUUCCUCGGAUUGGUCUUUGUUUAACUUGGCCCUACAUACUCACUCAGCUGGGCUCUCAGGCCCUCCUUUAAUGAGGCGGAGGCUCCCUUUGCAGGAGGUCAGGCUCCUGUGACCUCUUGCCUUGUCCUCUGGCCACACUCUCCUCCGCAGGCUGCCUCUGUGUCCCCAGAUCUCAGAUCCAGGAGCUGGACCCAAACCCUGUCGUAGAUGGCUGGAGAACCCUCGUGAGUCUCUGACCACCUGGGGCCACCAGCCCAGCUCUGGUCCUGUGGAACCUGGCCACAGUGGGCACAGCAUCCCAGCCUGGGGCUGGGUGCUGUGUCGUAUCUACACCCAUGCACCUGGGGCUUAUAUUUCAGGGAAGGGAGAUUCUGGUUUUCCCCAGCAAGUUUUAAUUCAGUCCCCUGGCUUUCAAGAGGGUGUGAAUACCGUAGCAUUCUGUCCUUGCAUUCUGUCCUUUGUAUUCUGUACUUAAACAAAAGAUAAAAAAAACGCUAAACUUUGCCUUAAUAAUGAAAUGAGCAGCAGUGAUUUAUUGAGCACAUACUAUGUGCCAAACAUUCCACAAACAGCAUCUCACUUAAUUCUCUUCACAUUUUUGAGGGGAAGGCUUUGGUUAUCUUGUUUUUAUGGUUGAACAACCUGAGUGCAGAGGGAUUAAUUUCCUCAAGGCCACACGGUAAGCAGUGGCCGAGCUGGGAUUUGAGCCCAGGUCAGUCUGACACCAAAGCUCCUAACCACUGUCUGUACCACUUUCCAUUUCUCUCCUUACCCAUCCUCCCUUCGUCCGGAAGUCCAAAACGUUGCACGGAUGGGUGAGAACUUGGACGAUUUGAGUGACAAGAGGAGCUGUUCCAGUGGCUCUUUUCUCCCUGCCCACGGUGUGCUUGUGGUUUCUUCAAUCUGGGACCAGGGAGACCUUGUAGCGUUUGUCUGGGGCAGAAUGUAAAUGUGUCACUUGUCUUUCUCGGCUCGACAGCAACAGCUCUGUCAUGUGCCAGUAUGCGUGUGCAUGCACGUGUUCCGCCCUUACUUGCUCCUCCUGACAGAUAGCUGGUCCUGUGCCUGAAAUUGAUUCAUUUCUAAUGAAAAACAACCCGACCUGAAGAUAAGAAUUCACUCAAGCAAGAUUGGAAGGAGAGAUAAUGUGGAGUAUGCAAUGAGUUCGUUUUAACUGGUGACUUAUUCCACCUAAGAGUUCUCAUGUGUCAGAAGGGAGUCUGGGUCUGGGAAAGGUAUGCAGAGGAAGCUGGAAAAGCCCCUGAGUUCUGCAGGGGAGCUGGACCUUCCUACUGCAAAAGCUUAGGAGCCUGGACCCUGGGCCAGGAGUGGAGGGUGGAGUGCAGUGACGGAUGCAGGCCUGGGGAGGGGGGCAGGGGCUUUCAUUCGCUAGUGAGUGGGCAUUUCCCAUGUGGGUGGCACCUGACUUUCUGGGAUAUUUUCUUAAGUUUGUCUCUGCAUUCUGACUCUUGAUUCCCCAAUGGAGGAGCUAGGCGUCUGCCUUCUCACCACCCCUGUGCAUGGAGUAGAGAGUCGUGACUUAGGCUCCUUUGAUGAGACACCGCCUCCCUUCCCCCACUCCCCCCAGAAACGGACUUUGAUCUUCAGGAAGGUGGCAUUGCAAAGGAUCCAUUUUCAGGGGCAGCAAUGGUUGGGGUCCUGGCGGAGGCAGCAUGUGGUCCAGGCAGGUGGUGGUGGCGGGGACAUCUUUGCAGGAAGCAGGCCUGUGGUAAUGCUUGAUUCUUAAUUGCUCUUGGUGGCAGAGCUUCCGUGUCUGACUCUCUGACCCCCCAGGAGAUUUGUGAGCUACCCCCAAGUCCUGUAAAUUUGUGGAGGUUUGCUGAAUGGCCCAGGAUACAGUCUAUCUUCAUACAUGGUCCGUGGAUGCUUGAGUAUUUAUUCUGCUGUUGCUGGCUGAAGUGUUCUCUAAAUGUCGAUUGGAUUCUGUUGGUUGAUGGUGGUGUUGGUUCUGUGCUCUUGUUGAGUGCUGUCUAGUUGUUCUAUCAGCUAUUGAAAAGGGAUGUUGAAGCCUCUACCUAUAAUUGUGGAUUUGUCUAGUUUCCCUUUCAAGGUCUAGUGAUAACAUUGCUUUCCAUAUUUUGCAGCUCCGCUGUUUGGUCAGGAUUCUUGUGGACUGAAGGUUUAAAAUCAUUAUAUAAUGUCCUUCUCUGUCUCUGAUCAUUUUCUUUGCUCUGAAAUUUACUUUAUCAAAUAUUAAUAUAGCCAACUGCUUCCUCUCGAUUAGAGUUGGCAUGACGUAUCUUCUCCCAUCCUUUUAACUUUCAACCUGCCUGUAUCGUUAUGUUGGAAGUGAGAGACCAUGUUUUCAAAUCCUCUCUGACGGUCUGUCUCAUUUAACCUUGUCUGAGAAUGUCUUGAUUUCUUAUUUGUUGUUUGAGGAUAUUUCUGCCGGAUUCUGAGCUGACAGGGUUUGCUUUAUUUAUUUGCUUGUUUUGUGUGUGUGUGUGUGUGUGUGUGUGUGUGUGUGUGUGUGUUGUGCUGUUUUGUUUUGUUUUGUUUUCCUCAGCAUUUGAAUAAUGUUGUACUACUCCCUUCCCUCUUCCACAGUUUCUAAUGAGAAAUACACAAUGAUUUAAUUGUUUUUCCUUUAUAGAUAAGGUGUUGUUUCUCUCCAGCUGCUUUAAAGAUAUUUUUAUUUGCCUUUCGUUUUCAGAAGUUUGACCAUGAUGUGUCCUGGAAUGGAUUUUUUUUUUUUUUUUUCACUUAUCCUGUUUGGGGCUUGCCGCUCAGCUCCUUGAAACUGAGGCUUAUGUCUUUUGCCAAAUUUGGGAAGUUUCAGCCUUUAGUUUCUUUGAAUGCUUUUCCAGCCCUGCCCUCUUUCACCUCUCCUUCUGGAACUCUGACGAUGUGAAUGUUAGAUGUUGUUCCACAGGCCCCCAAGGCUCUGUUGAGUUUUUCAUUCCAGCCUGUUUUCUCUCCAUUGUUCACACUGGGUUAUUUCUAUCAAUGUACUUUCAAGUUCAUUGAUUUUUUUCUUUCCUCCCUCCAUUUUACUGUUGAGCCCGCCCAGUGAGUUUUUUUUAUUUCAGUUAUUGUAUUUUUCAGUUCUAAAAUUCCAUUUGGUUGUCUUUUAUAUCUUCUAUUCACCAAAUGUUCUAUUUCUUUGAUGAAGCUUUCUAUUUUUUUUCAAUUAUUUCAAGCAUGUCCAUAAUUGCACGUUGAAGCAUUCGUAUGAUACCUGCUUGAAAAUCCUUGUUGGAUGAUGAUAACGUUUCUGUCAUUUUGAGAUUGGUCUCUAUAGAUUGUCUCUGUUACAUUCACGUUGAAAUUUUCUUGGUUCUUGGUGUGAACAGUUAUUUUCUAUUGAAACUGGACAUUUUUGUUAUUAUGUCUGAUACUCUGAAUCUUGUUUACAUUUUCUGCUUCGGCUGACUUUUUUUUUGACAUUGCUCUGGGCAGGGGAAGGAGUGGGUGCUGCCCUGUGACUGCCAGGUGAGGUUAGAAAUACAGACUCCUCAGGGACACCUGGGUGGCUUAGUCAGUUAAGCAUACGACUUAGGCUCAGGUCAUGAUCUUGCGGUUAGUGAGUUCGAGCCCUGGGUUGGGCUCCAUGCUGACAGCUCAGAAUCUGGAUCCUGCUUCGGAUUCUGUGCCUCCCUCUCUCUCUGCCCUCCCCUGCUUGUGCUCUGUCUCUUUCUCUCUCAAAAAUAAAUAAACGUUAAGAAUAUUUAAAAAGAAGGGGGUGCCUGGGUGGCUCAGUUGGUUAAGCGUCCGACUUCACUUCAGGUCAUGAUCUCACGGUUCGUAGGUUCAAGCCCUAUGUCGGGCUCUAUGCUGACAGCUCAGAGCCUGGAGCCUGCUUUGGAUUCUCUGUCUCCCUCUCUCUCUGACCCUCCCCUGCUCAUGCUCUGUCUCUCUCUCAAAAAAUCAAUAAAAACAUUUUAAACAUUAAAAAAAAUUUAUGUUUAUUUAUUUUUGAGAGAGAGACAGAGUGUGAGCGGGGGAGAAGCAGAGACAGAGAGGGAGACACAGAAUCCGAAGCUGGUUCCGGGCUCUGAGCAGUCAGCGCAGAGCCCGAUGCGGGGCUCGAACUCAGGAACAGCAACAUCAUGACCUGAGCUAAAGUCGGACGCUUACCGACUGAGCCACCCAGAUGCCCACCAAAAAAAAAAAAUUUUUUUUUAAAUUAAAAAAAGAAAAAAGAAAUGCAUACUCCUCACUUGGCCUCUGUUGUUACCUGACUUGGGGAGGGAUUCCUCAUUCUAGGCCAGAGGUGGGAGUUCUGGUUCUCUGUUAGGCCUUCACUGACAUCACUCUGACUGGGAGGGGUAGGAGUGCCUUGUUACCGCUCACACCUGUCUUCCACUGGACAUUACAGUAAAGAGAGGUGGCCUCAUUGCCUCUGGGUGGUGAUGAAAGUCCUGACUCUUCCCUAAGCCUUCUCUAACACCAGAGGGGAGGGAACGGAGCACCUCCAUAGUUGUAGGUAGGGGUGGAAGUCCAGACUCCCCAUGAGGGCUCCACUGACAUCAUGGGGGCAUAGGUGUUGUUCCCAUUUAGUGGGGGGGGGGGGGGGGGUUAGUUUCCAGCUCCUUACUUGGCUUUCUCUGACACCACACUGGCAAGAUGGUUGGGGAGCCUCAUGACAUUCCACAAGGGAGGAGUCUAGAUUCUUCACUCUGUCUUUGCUGGCUUGGGUAAGGAGAGGCACUUUUCUCCCCAUGAUGUUAGUAUGGAGUACGUGGUUACUGUCUGAGAGUUUUCUGUCUUCAUACCCUUUUCUGGCUAGAGAGAGGAGGCUUUUGUUGGGGCUUUUUCAUGUUUGGGAUCAUUUGCAUUUCUGGGCCACAUGUUUCUUCAGCUCCCAGUCUGGGAUAUAUGAGACAAAGAGAAAACCCAGAAAAUUCACCUCCAUGUCACUCCUUGGGUCCAAAGUCCCUCACCCAUCUGCCUUCCUCUCCCCACCUUUGAGAAUUUUCUGAUGAUUUUUUUUUAUACAUAAUGUCUAUGGUUUUUAGUUGUACUUGGUGGAAGGAAGAGAAAGAAGUAUUAUCUAUUCCUUGUUCCCAGAGAGCAAGUCCCAACAUCCUUUAUUAAACUGUCUUUCUGCUGAAACUGGCCACAGGGGGCUCUGUUGUUUGCAGUGUAGAACCCUUCCCUUUGAGAAGGACGGGGCCAAGUUCCCCCUUGAGUGGGAACACUGGUCUUGUCAAUACGUUUUGAGAAUUGGUAGUUCUCUUGUGUGUGAGUGGUUUUCCUCUGUUUUCUCCGAACCAUACAGCUUGUCUUCUGAACACAAACAAAAACUUUCUCAUAAUUAAAAAAAAAGUUUAUUAUGUUAAUAAUCUCUGCACCCAAUAUGGGACUUGAACUCAUGACCCCAAGAUCAAGUGUUGCAUAUUCUUCCGACUGAAGCAGCCAGGUGCCCCAAUAUAAUCAUAUAUAUAUAUAUAUAUAUUAUGUACUAUAUAUAUAUAAUCAUAUAUAUAUUAUGUACUAUAUAUAUAAUAUAUAGUACAUAUAUAAUUAAUAUAUAUACUGGUUAUAUAUAUAGGUUAUAUAUAUGUAUUAUAUAUAUACUAGUUAUAUAUAUAUAUAUAAUACAUAUAUAUACAUACACACACACACACAUAUAAUAAAAAUGUGAUCACACUGCAUUUUUUGCUUAGUAACCUGCUUUUUCACUUAGCCAGAUACCCUGAUAUCUUUUUACUCAAAUAAAUGUAGCUUAGAUCAUCAUUUUUUGAUGGUUACAUAAGGUUCCAUUGCAAGAGCACAGUUAUUUACAUAUCUGAUCCCUAUUGUUUCCAAUUUUUGUCCACUGUAAACAAUUCUGCAUGGAACAUCUUUGUAGAUAAUCAUUGGGUACUUGUCUGGUUAUCUUAAACUAACCCCCUAGAAAUGGAAUUGCUGGGCUGUAGGGGACACACAUUUUUAAAAAAGAGCUUUUGAUGCAUAUCUUUACUUAUCCUUUCCAUCUUGCUUCUAGUUGUAGGACCAUUGCUUGGUUCUCAUUCCCCUCGAGUUUUCUCAUUCACUAACAGGCAUUACCCCUUCAGUCUCCCCUCUGCUUCUCUCUGUCCACUAGUGCUAGCUUGUGGCAGGAUGAUAUGUGACAAAUCAAUGCCCCUAUAACACCUUCCAUAUUCCACUUGCUUACAUCCUGAGGCUCUUUUACCAUUCGUGGCAUGGUGGGACUUCCAAACUGAGAUGGCAAGCAGUUUUAAGUUCAACUGCUGAGGGUUCAGGUGGAAGAUUCCGGAAGUAGAUGUGAUCAGCCAUUUCCUUCCCUCACCGCUGACCUCUGGUCCUUAGGGGAGAAGAAAAGUAGAGAUGAAGUAAGAUGGUGAGAUAGGAGUAGGAGUGGCCCUAUCUCAUGUAUCCCUCCGCCCCACAAAAUGAAUCUUGGUCAGGGAGGGGCAUGAUAAAAUCUGCCUUGAAGUCAAGAGAACCUGUUUCAGGCUUCCCAGGGUGUUAUCUGGGGAGGCAUCAAGUUUCAGGUCAGUUCUCUAGUCAUCAUGGAAAGGCUACCAUAGAGAGGAAAUGGUGGUAUGAUGUCUCUGGUGAGGGGACAGUGUAGGGACAGCCUUCCAAUUUUCCCAGAGCCUUAGAGUGCUGAUGGUCAGAUAUCUGAGUGUCCCAGUGGCAUCAAGUUGGGGUACAGAAGAAGAGGAAAGAGGAGAGGAAAUAUAAGGAGGAGGGGAGGGGAAGGGGAGAAAGCAGGAGGGGAGGGAAGAGAGAGGAAAUGAGAAAUGAAGCUCAGAGGCCUACAAGAGCUCCUUGCCUGAAUGUUGUGGACCCCAUGGCAGAAGUUGAAGGGUGGGUCAUGCUUGCAAGCAUCUGAGGAGAACAUGGUUGCCUCUCAGAUAAUUUGUUAGCAUGAGACACAAGUAAGGAUCAGAUGAGUUACAUUUGAAGCCAGAGGUCAGAAUGGGACCAAGACAGAUGCAGACAGUGCAGUAACUUCUUUCUCAGCCUAGAUGCAGGGUCACAUCCCCAUAACACGCACCCACAACACCUGUAUGUACACAUACAUGCACUUUGAGCCCAAAUGGUGAUUAAAAAGCACUCUUUUUGACUUUGUUUACCUGCAAAUAACUAGAUUACUUAUGCUACAUUGGGCAGAAUAGGGAUCCCAGGCAGAAAGUACACUGUUUGAGAAAGGGGCAGGUGGGGGGGGGGGGGGNNNNNNNNNNNNNNNNNNNNNNNNNNNNNNNNNNNNNNNNNNNNNNNNNNNNNNNNNNNNNNNNNNNNNNNNNNNNNNNNNNNNNNNNNNNNNNNNNNNUUAAGCAUCCUACUUCAGCUCAGGUCAUGACCUCAUGGCUCGUGAGUUCAAGCCCCGUGUUGGGCUCUGUGCUGACAGCUCAGAGCCUGGAGCCUGUUUCAGAUUCUGUGUCUCCCUCUCUCUGACCCUCCCCCGUUCAUGCUCUGUCUCUCUCUGUCUCAAAAAUAAAUAAACGUUAAAAAAAAAUUAAAAAAAAAAAAGAAAACAUGUUUUCUAGAUUCAAGCCUUUGCAUAUUCCCUAGCAAAAUCUCCUUUUAUUUAUUUGUGUUACCUAUGUGCACAGUGAUUAUUGAGGUUUUUUUAAAAUCGCAUUUUGUUCAAACAAAAACAUUCAUAGAUGGCCAAUAUCAUGUAAAGCAAAUAAAAAUCAGAUCUGGGGGAGGGAGGAUGCUUCCUCUCAGUCAUCUGAGGUUCAUAAAGGGCCUCUAUGGAACCCUUGGGACUCAACAGAUACAAGGCUGCCAUGUAUGGAAUGCCAGUGUUGGCCAAAGUACUCCCUGGGAGCUGAAAUCUAGCUCAUGUACCACUCAUCAAGACUCAGCCUCUGGCACAGGGCUGUACCUACCUGGGGAUAGCAUUGCCUUUGUCUUUUUCCAAAGUGUAGUCUGCUUAUAAGCCAUGUGUCCAUAGAACAGCAUGUGUCAGAGAUGAUUUCUUCUCAAAUUCAGCCACCCAGAUGGGGCACCUUACACGGGCCCCAUAAAGGCAGCUAAUGGUCCUGCGUGAGCGUACUUUGAAAACAACAGUAAGUGUUUACCGGUACAUAGAAUUUGGCUUUCUAUUUUGAGUUCCCCGUUUGCUGCUAAAUUUCAAAACAAGUUCAGUACAUUUCCUUGUCCCAGACUUAGAACAUUACUGCUCAAGUGUGGGCGAGGGGCCAGCAGCCUUUUGGAAGAGCAGUAAAUGAUACUGUCAUUAAACUAUGGAGAAAUAUGCCAGGCAAGACUUUCCCUGGGUAGAAUCCCUUGUGAUUUGUUUUGGGGUAACUGUAAAAAUCAAAACUAGGAGACCAGCCAACCAUUUUAGUGAAACAUUCUAGUUUACAAUCAGGAAAUGAUGAUCUUGAGAAAUUAUGGCUUAUGUUCAAGGCCAUAAGAUUCUAGUUGGUGGAGCUGAGACUCAAAUCUAAAGCCUCCUGGCUAUGAUCCCAGGACUUUUCAGUUGGCUGUGUGAUGAUAGAAACCGUAUAGCCAAAGAAAUGAUGGGAUCUUCUUCCCUGGCCUCCUUCCUCCAAAGACAAAUAUUUACCAUUUGGAGGCACUCUAGGGAUGGCCCUACACUGAGGGAGGUGAAUACCUCACUCCACAUGGCAGCCUAGGAAUGUGCCAUCAUGUCAUGUCGAUGAAAUGGGUGGUCUCUAUAUCAAUAGCUUCUGCAGUGCUGAAACGCUUCCUUAUUCUGCUUUGGUGCUGAAUCAGCCACGGGAGUCAUGUCUACUUCCUGGGCUGCAAGAUGGCAGCCCCAAAUAACGACAAUAAUAAUAACAACACUAAUGAUGGCAAGCACCAUCAUCAUCUUGUUUGGUCCAGACAGAUCACCUUUGAUCUGGGGAUUUCUAAGCAUGUUGCCAACAUGAUCCAGCAGCUAGUGUCAUUAUCUCCCUUUACAGACAGAGAAAAUGAGGCACAAGAUGUUUAAGCUAGAGGCUCAAGGUCAUGCGAGGCAUCAUUAGUGGAGACAUGUGAGGAACUCAAGUCGUUAGCUCUGAAAUAAAAUCUGUAGGCACUUAACAGGCUUUAGGUUGGCAAUGGCUGCUCUUUAUGAGGACGGUAUAUUUUUAUAAACCAUGCCAUAAAACUGAAUACCGAUCAUUAGAUUUCAUUUCAAGCAUGUCUUUCACAAUCUUAAAUGCUGUGAGCAUGUGGCAGAUAGUCCCCUGCUCCAAACAGCCUGUUCCACACAUAGUCCUUUGUAAUACUCAGUGGAUCCCCAGUGGUUCAGGAAGGUGAACCCUCUCUACCAAGAAUCAAAGCUGGCAUUGUAUGACAGAAGGAACAUUGGUCAAAGUCUCAGGGAGGGGGGCCUCAAUUUAUCGUUUUCCCCCAGCAUUAUGGAGGUAUAAUUGACAAAUAAAAUUGUAUAUAUUUAGAACGUAAAACGUGAUGAUUUGACAUAACUUCUAUUUUGUGCAGUGGUUACCCCAAUUCUGUUAACUAACACAUCCAUCACUUCACAGAGUUACCUUUCUUUUUCUUUUUCUUUUUCUUUUUCUUUUUCUUUUUCUUUUUCUUUUCUUUAUGUGUGUGUGUGCCUGUGUGUGUGUGUAGAGAGAGAGAAUGCUUAAGUUCUACUCUCUUAGCAUUAUUUUAUUAUUUUUUUCUUAGCAAAUUUUAAAUACACAACACAAUAUUAUUAACUAUGGUCACCAUGUUGUACAUUAGAUCCCCGGAGACUAUUCGUCUUGUAACUGAAGGCUUAUACCCUUUGCCCAGCUUCUUCCCACCUCCUUAAUAUCUCAGUCCCUGAUAACUAUCAUUCUGCUCCAUUUCUUUAAGUUUGACUUAAAAAAUUUUUUUUUUAAUUUUUAUUUUUUGAGAGAGAGACAGAGUGAGAGUGGGGAAGGGGCAGAGAGAGAGAGAGGGAGACACAGAAUCCAAAGCAGGCUCCAGGCUCCAAGCUGUUAGCACAGAACCUGAUGUGGGGCUUGAACUCACGAACUGUGAGAUCAUGACCUGAGCCAAAGUCAGACACUUAACCAACUGAGCCACCCGGGUGCCCCCCCCUUUUUUUUUGGUUAAGAUUCCAUAUAUAAGUGAGAUCAUACUGUUUUUUCUCUGGCUAAUUUUAUUCAGCAUGUCUUCUAGGUUCAUCCAUGUUGUUGCAAAUGGCAGAAUUUCCUUCUUUCUCAUGGCUGAAAUAAUGUUCCUAUAUAUAUAUAUAUAUAAAUUUUAUAAUUGUUUAUUCUAUUUCCAUGAAAAACAUCAACGGAAUUUUGAUAGGGAUUACAUUGAAUCUGUAGAUUGCUUUGGGUGGUAUGGACAUUUCAACAAUUAAUUCUUCCAAUUCAUGAAUAUUUAUAUAUUUCUCAAUUUCUUUCAUCAGUGUUUUACAGUUUUCAGCAUACAGAUCUUUCAGCUCCUUGCUUAAAUUUAUUGUUAAGUAUUUUAUUGUUUUUGAUGCUAUUAUAAUAUUAUAAAUGGGGUUGUUUUCCUAAUUUCUCUUUCUGACGCUUUGUUGUCAGUGUAUAGAAAUGCAACUGAUUUUUGUAUAUUAAUUUUGUAUCCUGCAACUUCACUGAAAUGAUUUAUUCGUUCCAACAGUGUUUGGGUGGAAUCUUUAGGGUUUUCUAUGUGUAGGAUCAUGCCAUCUGCAAGCAGAGACAAUUUUACUGCUUCCUUUCUGAUUGGAUAGCUUUUGUUUUGUUUCGUUUUUCUUGCUUACUUGCUCUGCCUAGGAUUUCUAGUACUGCACUGAAUAGAAGUGGCAAGAGUAGACAUUCUUAUCUUGUUCCUGAUCUUAGAGGAAAAACUUUCAGCUUUUCACUGUUGAGUAUGAUGUUAGCUGUUGGGCUUUCAUAUGUGGCCUUUAUUAUACUGAAGUACCUUCCUUCUAUACCUAAUUUCUUGAGAAUUCUUGUCAUGAAAGAAGGUUGAAUUUUGUUAAAUGCCUUUUCAUCUUCUAUGUAGACGAUAAUAUGAUUUUUAUUCUUCAUUCUGUGAAUGUGGUGUAUUACAUUUAUUGAUUUGCAGAUGUUGAAUCAUCCUUGUAUCCCAGGGGUGAAUCCAACUUGAUCAUGAUAUAUGAUCCUUUUAAUGUGUUGUUGAAUUCUGUUUGCUAGUGUUUUGUUGAGGAUUUUUGCAUCUAUAUUCACUGGGGAUAUUGGACCAUAAUUUUUUAUUCUUGUAGUAUUGUUGCCUGGCUUUGGUAUCAGGGUGAUGCUGACCUCAAAAAGUGAAUUUGGAAGUGUUCCUUCCUCUUCAGUUUUUGAGAAGGGGUUGAGAAGGAUUGGUAUUAAUUCUUUUUUUUUUUUUUUAAUUUUUUUUUUCAACAUUUAUUUAUUUUUUGGGACAGAGAGAGACAGAGCAUGAAUGGGGGAGGGGCAGAGAGAGAGAGAGACACAGAAUCGGAAACAGGCUCCAGGCUCUGAGCCAUCAGCCCAGAGCCUGACGCGGGGCUCGAACUCACGGACCGCAAGAUCGUGACCUGGCUGAAGUCGGACGCUUAACCGACUGCGCCACCCAGGCGCCCCGGUAUUAAUUCUUCUUUAAAUGUUUGGUAGAAUUCACCACUAAAUCCAGGCCUGGGCUUCUGUUUGUUGGAAGGUUUUUGAUUACUGAGUCAAUAUUCUUACUCACUAUUGGUCUGUUUAGAUUUUUUAUUUCUUUGUGAUUCAGUUUUGGUAGGUUGUAUGUUUCUAGGAAUUCUUGGACUUCUUUUAAGUUAUGCAACUUGUUGGCCUAUAAUUGUUCAUAGUAGUCUUUUAUGAUUCUUUGUAUUUAUAUGGUAUCUCUUGUUACAUUUCCUCCUUCGUUUCUGAUUUCAUUUAUUAGAGUCUUCACUCUUUUUUAUUACUUAGUCUAGCUAAAGGUUUGUCAAUUUUGUUUAUCUUUUUAAAACACCAGUUCUUAGUUUUGUUGAUAUUUUCUAUUGUAUUUCUUGUCUAUUUCAUUGAUUUCUCCUCUGCUUUUUUUUUUUUUUUAAUUUCCUUCCUUUUGUUGACUUAGUUUGCUCUUUUCCUAACUCCUUGAGGUAUCAAGUUAGGUUGUUUAUUUGAGAUCAAUCUUUUUUCUUAAUGUAGGCAUUUAUUGCUAUAAAUUUCCCUAUUAAAACUGGUUUUGCUGUAUCCUGUAAGGUUUGGUAUGCUGUGUUUCAAUUUCCAUUUGCUUCAGGAUAUUUUUUUGAUUUCCCUUUUUGUUUCUUUUGUGACCCAUUCUUUGUUCAGGAGUGUGUUGUUUAAUUUCCACAUAUUUGGGAAUUUUCUAAUUUCCCUCCUAUUGUUAAUUUCUAGUUUCAUAUCAUUGUGGUCAGGAAAGAUACCUGUAUGAUUUUAAUGUCCUUAAAUUUGUUAAGACCUGUUUGUGACCUAACAUAUAAUCUAUCCUGGAGAAUGUUCCAUGUGUGCCUGAGAAGAAUUCAUAUUCUGCUGCUUUUGGAUAAAAAUUUUUGUGUAUGUCUGAUAAGUCCAUUUGGUUCUAAAAUAUAGUUCAAGUCCAAUGUUUCCUUAUUGAUUUUCUGCAUAGAUGAUGUAUCCAUUGUUGAAAGUGAAGUAUUGAAGUCCCCUACUAUUAUUCUAUUUUUCAAAUCUGUUAGUAUUUGCUUACACAGGUGAUCUGAUGUUGGGUGCAUAUAUGUUUAUAGUUGUUAUAUCCUCUUGAUGAAUUGAUCCCUUUAGCAUUAUAAACUAACCUUCUUUGUCUCUUUUUACAGUUUCUGACUUAAAAUCUGUUUUUCUAAUAUAAUUAUAGCUACUCUGCUCUCUUUUGCUUUCCAUUUUUCAUAGAAUAUUUUUUUCUCAUCCUUUCACUUUGCACCUAUAUAUGCUUUUAAAACUAAAGUAAAUCUUUUCUAGGCAGCAUGUAGUUGGGUCUUGUAUAUAUAUAUAUAUUUGGCCUCUCUAUGCCUUUUCAUUUGAGAAUUUAAUCCAUGUAGAUUGAAAGUAAUUAUUGAUAGACAAGGAUUUACUAAUUCCAUCUGAUUGUUUUCUGACUGUUUUGUGGUUCCUUUUUUCCUUUCUUUCUCUUUUGUGUCUUCCUUUGUUAAUUGAUGGCUUUUAGUGGUGGUGUGCUUUGAUUCCCUUCUCUUUAUCUUUUAUGUAUUUCAUAGAUUUUGUUUUGUGAUUAUCAGGAGGCUUACAUAAAAUGUCUUUUAGUUAUAGUGGUCUAUUUUAGGCUGAUAACUUUGAUUGCAUACAAAAAGUAUACCCUUUUACUCUCCCCCUCACAUCUUAUUUUUGAUAUCAUGAUUUACAUAUUUUUAUAUUGUCUUUCCAUUCACAAUUAUUGUAGCCAUAGUUAUUUUUAAUGUUUUUGUCAUUUAAUCUUUAUACUAGAGUUAAGUGAUAUACACAUCACCAGAUUACAGUAUUAGAGUAUUCUGAAUUGGCUAUACACUUACCUUUACUGAUGUGCUUUAUACUUUCCUAUGUUUUCAUGUUACUAAUUGGCAUCCUUUCAUGUCAGCCUGAAGAACAUGCAGCAUUUCUUGUAAGGCAGGUCCAGCAAUGAACCACCUCAGUUUUGUUUGUUUGGGAGAGUCUUUAUCUCUCCUUCAUUUCUGGAGGACAACUUUGCCAGGUAAUGUGUUUUUGGUUGGAAGUUUUUUUUUUCCUUCAGCAUGUUAAAUACAUCAUCCUGUUCUCUUCUGACCUGCAAGAUUUCUGCUCAGAAGCCCACUGAUUUCACUCAUAUGUGGAAUUUAAGAAACAAAACAGAUGGACAUAGGGGAAGGGAAGGAAAAAUAAAAUAAAAACACAGAGGGAGGCAAACCCUUUAAAUACAGAGACUCUUAAAUACAGAGAACAAACUGAGAGUUGCUGGAAGGGAGUUGGGUGGGGGGAUGGGCUAAAUGGAUGAUGGGCAUUAAGGAGGGCACUUGUUGGGAUGAGCCCUGAGUGUUAUAUGUAAGUGAUGAAUCACUAAAUUCUACUCCUGAAACCAUUGCUACACUGUAUGUUAACUAACUUGGAUUUAAAUAAGUAAAUAAAAAGGAGUCCACUGAUAAUUUUAUGGGAGUUCCUUUGUUUGUGAUGAGUUUUUUAUCCUCUCUUUCUGCUUUAAAAAGACUCUUUGAUUUUAGAUGGUUACAUUAAAAUGUGUCCUGGAGGAGAUCUUUUUGGGUUGGAUUUUUUGGGGGACCUAUGAGCACCAUGAACUUGGAUAUCUAAAUUUCUCCUCGGAUUUGGAAAUUUCUUAGCCAUUAUUUCUUUAAAUAAGGUUACCACCUUUUUCUUUCUUUUCCAUCUGAGACUCCAAUAAUGCAUGGGUUGUUUUGCUUGAUGGCAUCCCAUUAAUUCACAUAGGCUUUCUUCACUUUUUUUCAUUCUUUUGUAUUUGUUCUCCUCUAAAUGGAUAAUUGAAAAUGACCUGUCUUUGCACAGAUUCUUUCUUUUGCUUGAUCAAGUCUGCUGGUGAUGCUUUCCAUUGCAUUUUUCAUUUCAUUCAUUGUAUUUUUCAGAUUCAGAAUUCCUGCUUGGUUCUCUUUUAUGAUUUGUAUCUCUCUGUUAAAGUUUUUGUUUUACUUGUAUAUUGUUUUCUUGAUUUCAAUUGAAUUGUCCUGUGUUUUCUUGUAGCUCACUGAGCUUUCUUAAAAUAACAACUUUGGAUUACUUAUUGAACAAUUCAUGGAUCUCCAUUUCUUUGUGGUUAGUUACUGGAAAAUUAUUGUGUCCCUUUAGUAGUGUUAUAUUGCCUUGGUUUUUCAUGUUCCUUGAAAUCUUACAUAUACCAUCUUCACAUCUGAAGAAGCAGUCACCUCCUCCAGUCUUUACCGACUGGCUUUGGGAGAGAAAUACCUUCUGUCUCAGCCCUGCUAGGGAUUCUUUGCCUUUCUCAGAUCUUUUCUAGGGACUGACCUGCUUUACACUUCUUGCACCCUCCUGGUGGUAGGGGGAUUCUUAAAAUUGUAUGCCUUCUCUCAAUCCUGCAAAGCCAGGCCACCACGGACAGAUUCCCAUUUGCUUACCCUAGGACAGUGCUUAAUCUCAACUUUCUCCCAAUCCUGCAGAGUUGGGCUGGCUUUCUCUGCAUGCUCACUAGCUGUCUACAAAGGCUUGCCCUUGCUUCCUUCAUAGGAAGCCAGCCAUUGGGUGGGGGUAUGUGUAGGUGGGGUGCGUAGAACAUUGGGGGCGCCUCUGGGACAGUUGGGGGAAUAUGCAGAUGAGACAGUCCCAGCAGCUUGUUGCUAGGCUUCUUGAUGGAGUCUACAAAAUGGUUAGUAGAAUCCACAUUCAGGAGACCUCAGUUUGAACUACAGCUCUGCCUUUACUGCCUGUUCCACCUUGGAGAAGGGACUUAGAUUCACUGGGCCUCCUUUUCAUCUUCAAUUGUAAUGGGAAAGAGUUGCAUUAAAUCAUUGAUGCUACAUUUUAAAAAUGAACUCAUGGUUGUGUGGCAAUUCUUUCUACCACAUUUUUUCCUCCAAACUUCUGAGGUUUCAGAGAAUCUGCCAUCUCUCAGUUUUGAGUCUUUGGAAUGGUCUACAUCGUCUUUGUUGCUAUGCUAUCUAUUUUCAAAAGCUUUCAAACUUCUUAAAGCAACAUAGAUCCAGAGUUCAGUGAAGGAAAUAGCCACCCCUCCGUGUAUUUCAAGAAGAAAGGAAUUCAGUCCAGGGAAUUACAAGCUUAUAGAACUGUUGUAAGAGCUGGAGACGUGGAAAUCUAGAGAGUUCCACUGGGGAGCACUAUUUCAAAGUGAUCCCAUUGUAGUUGUGAUCCAGAGAUUAGGAAACUGCUGCCCUGGCUGCUUUCACCACAAGUGCCUCUGGCACCCAUGAAGCUCGUGACUAAACUCUGGAAUGAGGAGUCCAGUGGCCGAAAUGGCUCUAAGCAUUCAUGUUUCUACUAUAAUGCUGCUUCACACAAGGGCAUUAUUUGGGGAAACUAAUUUAUUUCUAGAACCAUACCUUCAAAGUGUCUGGGAAAUGUUGAUUUUUCCUUUCUAGCUCUCGAGUUACAGGGAAUGGGAAAUUAGUGCCAACAGUCCUAUUCAGCAUGAACACUUGUUCAGAUUUCAUCUUACAUGAUGUAUUAGUCAGGAUAGGCUCUGUUAUGCUGCCGUAAUAAACAACCCUAAAAUUUCAGUGAUCUAAAACAAUAAACAUGGAUUUCUUACUCACCAAAUAUCUGUUGCAGGCUGGUUGACCUUCCUCAAAGGUGCACCGUCUAGAACAAAUGACUUUCAAGACAUUAAGGCAGGGGAAGGGAAAGGUAGAGGGGGCACAUCAGCUAUUAGCUGCUUCAGCUCAGGAGUGGCACAUGUCACUUAUGCCCACAGUCUAUGGCCAGAGCCAACCCUAUUGCUGCAAACUAAGCUGGGAGGCAGGCUAGAAAAUUAGGAGAGUACCUAAAAUACUUGGUGAAUACUUAUUUUCAGUCAUGGAAAAAAGGGAACACUUGAGUUCUAAGUGGGUUGAUCCUGCUGUCAGUCUCCCUUUCCCUCUGUGAAAGCCUCUGAAGACAAAGAUCCCAGGGCUCCUCAAAUACAGAUGUGCCUGCCUUACAUAAUUAAAAGAGCUAUAAUCUAGAUAUCUGUAUGGCAUCCUUGAGGAAUCAGCAAAAAGAUUUCCUUCUCCAUAAAUAUCUCUCUCACUGGCCUAAACUAGCACUUAAAACUUCCACCAUUGACAUUACUUUUUGUGUACUCCCUUAAAGAUAUGCAUAUUUAAAUAAGUUAAGGCAAUUUGUCAUCUUGGAUUGCACUGGAACACUCUCAGUGAGCAGGGAGCAGGGUGUGGGAAAUGGACAGGAGGCAUGCACUGAGGCAUGAGAAAAGUAGACUGAUGUCAGUGGAUUCCGUAGAUCAGCAAGAGGGGCUUGAGGAUGGAGAGCAGGGGGCUGGAAGGGAGUAAGCAAGGGACCCCAAGGACGAGGAGAAGGGGGCUUUAGGCAGAGUCUCCACAUCACAUCUUUGCCAAGGGCCUGACUUAUUUUGGCCUCUGGGGCAGCCUUCCCCAACUGCAUCCAGUAAGGUCAUAAAUGUCUCUUUGAACUGAGCCUGCUUUUAGAAGAUAAAUUCAGAAAUAUCUAUCCAACUAGACUGUGGUGAGCAGAAUGAGGCUGAAAUGGAAUACUUGACUCCCAAGUCCAGGGCUUCUGGACAGAGUCUGAGUGUUGACUUUAUUUUUUUUAUUUUUUAAAAAUAUUUGUUUGUUUAUUUAUUUUAGAGAUAUAGUACAAGCAGGGGAGAGGUAGAGAGAGAGAGAGAGAGAGAGAGAGAAUACUAAGCAGGCUCUGCACUGUUAGCAAGAGCCCCAUAUGGGGCUCAAACUCAUGAACUGUAAGAUCAUGACCUGGGCCGAAAUCAAGAUAUGGUCGCUUAGCCUAUGAGCCACCUCAGCACCCCCCAAAACUGACUUUAAAUAAUACUUACUGGCACUCCUGGGUACGUUUCAAAUACAACUGUGUGAUCUUGAGCAAGUUACAUGACAUUUCUACAUUUCUGGUGUGAGGAUUAAAUAAGAAAAUGCAUUUUAGGCACUUAGCAGAGAAUCAGAAGAUCCUCAGCAAGCAUUGGUGAUAAAACCAAAUGUAGAAUCCCAUUUGGUCUGUUCAACAAACCUGGUGGAUGGGAAGCAAAGGGGUGAUGGUCAGUAAGAGAUGGCAGUGUCCCCAGGGACCAGCAAGAGUGAGAAGUCUUUCCUAGCCCUCGGCAGAUGAACCCAGUGAACACUGGAGCCACGGGAGAUGGGCUGUCUCAUGGGAUCCAUGAUCAUGGCUCAGGGGACACAGCUACCGAGACAGUCCUGGCCCAGUAGUAAGGGAAUGAGGGCAAUUAAUUGCUCAUCCCUCUCUUCUCUUGCCUCCCAAUCUCCUCCUGACAUCUCCCACCAGCUGAGCAUCACUAGAAGGCAGAGGGUAAAGGAGGCUGGGAAUGGAGUCCAUAGAGGUCAACUUCUUGAGGCCCAUAGUACAGCCUGGUCCACAGAAGAGAAUUUGCAGAGCUGGGGAGCAGAGCAGAAUCAACCCCAAGCAAGAGGCUCCUCAAACUCUCACAGCCAAGAAACCAGGACACCCCUCCCCCCAGCAGUUGCUCAAACAUGGGCUGACCCUCUCUUUGUUUCUCUCCCACAGCAGUGGUAAAGAAACCAUGGACCAAGUGGGCUGUUGGGCAGAGGAGUCCCCACGCUAUAACAGGGAGUAGAGGAGAUACCUGAUUUCUUUGGCUUGUCUUUCCCAGAAGAUGAGGAGCAGGUAUGAACCAGCACUCUCCCCCAAGACACAUGUCUCUCUAUUCAUGGGAGGAGUAGAGCAGACUCACAUUUGUCGUUGAUGACACAUGGCAUACGGAGUUGGCCCUUUAUGUAUAUUGCCUCUUUGAAUCCUUAGGUGAUUAACUCGUGGAAAUCAACAGCUCCAGGGCCAGCUACCAUUGGAGGGGACAGUCAGGCCUAGCUCUUAGAAACCUGGUGACACUUAGGAAGUUUGACUGCAAAGCCUCCCCUGCUCUCUGGCUCUCUGAGACCCACCUCAGCCCUGUGGGCCAAGCACCCAUGUAUCUCUCCUAUCAGGAGAAAAUAAAGUGUCUGGUGAAGUUAUUCACUCCAGGUGUUAGGAACUUAAUGCAUAAUACCUCCCAGGAGAAUGUGUAUUUCUCAGGACAGCCAGAGAGUGGGUGGUACUGAACCAAAAGAGUGAAUCACUAAUAGUGGAAUCCCAGGCAUUUGAGGAGGUCAUAUUUCUUGGGUGGGUUCCUUCCUGACAUUGUUUAUAUUAUAUAAAGUUGACAGCCACCUAUUGUCCCCCUAAAGGAGAUUGUCCCUAUGGGUGCGGUGAUGAUGAGGAAAGAGAAGAACAUUCAGGCUGGAGCCAGGGUGGUCUGAUUUUCAAAAACAAAUCUGUCCCUUAGAAUGAGAGGUGGCUUAAACACUCACACAGCCUCCCCAAGCGUGGUGAAGAGAUCCUGUCUCCCCUCUGUAACCAGGUUCUCUUCACCUGGAACGUGGUGCUGUCAUUAUGCAAUGUCCCUGUUGGCAGAGGUGUUUGGGCCCCUUGUUUUCAAGUCUGUGCCAUUUCCAAGAAGGAGCUGUGGCCUUUGAGUAGGACUGAGCUACUGAAUAGCAGCCCCAGUGCCAAGUGAAGGAGCCAAGAAGAGGCAGAGAAGAGAAAGUCACGACUGUCACACAAAGAUGAGACAGCCGCCCCCCAUGGUAGCUGGAUGGCAGUCCUGUUGUCCUGCAGCGGCCUUGGGGGCAGAAUGGGGUCAAAGUCGGGCUGCGGGCAGAAAGAAGCCAGGCCAGGCCAAGCAAGAGAGAAGGGCAAAGCCCCUGGGUGGUAGGAUGUGAGAAAAGUUACUUUCGUCAGGAGGGUAUCACUCUACAUUCAAAUCCAGCGCCCCAUGAAUUUAUAAAAGCCAGGCUCAAGGAAAAGUUUUUCCUAUUAGACUUAGUCACAUCAUCAAUAACAAUAAUCACUGUUACUAUUUCUUAAGUGUUUAAUCCAAAGCCAGUAUGGAAGUUAUCGAUUGAAGUCCUGACGAAGGUCUAAUCCGCUCACCCAGCAUGUAUUUAUUGAGUUUCUACUUAAGUCAGGCACUACCCUAGGCACUUAGGGCAGACCAAAGGCUAGGACAGACAAAACCCUGGUCCCGGCGGCAGGGCCACCACAUGCAAUUAACAACACAUCACUCUAGGGGGCACCGUAUGAUGCCUGGGCUACUUUGUGUAUUGAGCAGCCUGGCGGCCCCUGUCUGCGGUGCUCUCAUUCUAGCAGAUGUAAUCGAAUACCAACAAGGUGGGCGAAAUUCUCCUAUUACAGUUUGAGACACAGAGGGCUAAGUAACUUGCUGAGUUUUUCAGCCCCAAAGGACUGAGCCACAAUUUAUACCUAAAGACCUUGCAGUCCACCUGUGCCACGUAUGUGCCAUUCUCUCCCUGGUGGGUGUAGAGAUGAAGGUGUAGACAGGCUCAUAGAGGCAGAGCUGGGUUGGUUGGCCCAGUAGCAGUACUGUGUCCUGACUGGAUAGACUGGAACCAGCUCAGCGGUAACAGAGAAUCUCUUGGGGAAGGCUGACUUAACUAUAGGAAGGUUUGAUAACAUCAGCUGCCUUCAUAGUAAGGGUGGGGGGACUGGCCUUUUUAUUUUUAUCAGCUGGGGACUUAUGUGGAAAGGUCCAUCCCUGGGUAGACCUUGCUGUCUUGCAGGGCCAGAGGCAGCUAUUGAUUCUUGCACGUAUUUAUCGUUUAUGAAAUAUCCUAGUUAUAUUGGCAGAGAAGUUGGUCCAGGUUUGUAAGGGUAGGCUCCAAACUCCUCUGGUUGAGAAUGGAGUAGGACAGGUGCCCUUGGACAGGUUUCCUGAAUAAAGUGAGCAUGUGCAGCGAGAACGGAGAAGGUGCUCUCCUCUGAUGAGCUCAUUCUGCUAGGGUUGGAUCUAGUUUUCAGCGAACAGCAUGAGUCUUGCCUUUGGACCAGACUCUGUGCUACCCCAGUCAUGAAAGGAGGACAGCCACAUCUACGUUCUUCUGCCUUUUGUCCAAGCUUCUGUCUUGAAGGAAGAAAGAUGGCCUCUGGUUGUCGUCCCCUCCUCUUCUGCUGGGUAUCCCUUCUCCCACCUUCAGGUGCACCAGUGUGUGGCUUCUGAGCCAACCUUCUGAGACCUGAACUGGGCCGCCAGAGAUCUAAUGGCUGCUGCUUUGGCGUGGCAACCCUUGAGACUUGACACAGUUUUUCGUUAGCCCCCUGGAGAAAUGGAGAGGCUAAAGCAAUAGAGGACAGAAGGUUAUUUGGUGCCGGAGACUGGGAAAAGGGGAAAGGUAGAGGGAAGCUCGGUGUCCUAAAAACAAAUUUCACCCCCUCUCCGUUUUACCUAAGACGGGUGUUGCCUAGACAGCGUAAGUUCUGUAAAAGUGAUUUUCGUGAUGGUUUGGGCCAGGGGUGACAAACGUCUGGCACAUUUGCUGUCAUCUGUCUUCUCCCCACACCUUCUCCUGGCCACUGGGAUGGUAGUUUCAGACCCUUCUCAUUUUUUUUUUUAAUAUAUGAAAUGUAUUGUCUUCAGACCCUUCUCAAAUCAGCAUUCCAUGCAGGCUCCAUCCAUCAUAGUUGGCCUUUGAGAUGAAGUCCCCUCCUUGUGCCUGUUUAGAGGCCUUUUGCUGUGAGUUCUUUAUGGUAGCUUUUUCCUGAGGUAUCUUCUCUUAUUGUUGUGUCUUUCGCAGAACCUGGAAAGUCCGAACACAAUUUGGUGUUGACUCACAGAAUGUUCUCUGAAUCGAUGACCUUCGGUGUGUGCCAAAGCUGACUGAUUCACUGGUCUCUUCCCCCAACCAAGCUGGUUCUCUGGGCUCGGCAGGAGUCCUGACUGAGACCUCUCCUUACUCCAUAUUCUCUUUAUUACUAAUGAGGCGUGGUUCCUUAAUUACUAGGUGCUGGAUACCAGAAUUGAUUUCCUUUGUUUCAGUGAAUUUAGGAAAAGACUUAUGAAUAUUUCUUGCGCUUGACAUGAACUGCUUGAUUUUUUUUUUUUUUUUCCGGCCUGCAAAGGUCACUGAAGGGAGACAAGGCAAAGUGACGCCUAGAGCAUCAACAAGUAUGAAAUUCACCUUUAUCAUUGAAGCAUUCAGAUCCUUUGAUACACGUUCCCUGGACACUCUGCUGCCUUAUUUAAAGUAAAAAACAACCAGAAUGUGGGAGGUGCCCCAGGUAGCUCAAUAUUCUGUGAGCUAAAUGAGUGAUAUCAGUAUAUUAAAUCACUAAUAGCCCUCGUUGUAAAAAACUGUUCCAACAUAGAUGAGCCUAAAUUUCCUACCUUAGGGUGUCCCACCUCUUGAACAUAACUGACUCCUUAAUGAUUCAGAGUUUCAAAGCCUCAGGGUCCUAAUCCUGAGAAGCAGAGACUGGGGAAAUUUUGCUGAAGUUUGUUGGCUGGCUAUGGGAUCUAUUAAGAAAUUGUCUUUGUUGGUAUUAAAUCCAAGACUUUUUUUUUAAACCAUUUUUUUUUUUCUCAUGAAAACCGUAAAGUUAAUGAAGGUAGAAGCUGGUUAGAGUUUCAUUUAAUGGAUAAGCUCUUUCUCGAAGUCUUGGAGCACUUAUGUCUGAGGGCAAAAUGUUUAGUUGUGAUGAUCUGUGUUGGCCAUUCCAGCACAAAUAGCCUGAGGUUGCAAUGGUUAGAAUCAUCCACACUGUCCCUGCCAAAACACGGAUCCUGGCAGGUCACCUAGCCUCUGUUGGCCUCAGUUUCCUCCUCUGUAAAAUGGGCGGAAUAAUCAGGCAAGGUGCAGUAUUUAACCUAAGUGAGGAAAGUGGAUUAUUAUUGCCCUAAAAAACCUGUAGAAAGACAUUAAAAAUAUUUUUAUUCAAUUGCAUGUUGAAAUUUAUUUUUAAAAUAGGGUUUGUUGACGCAUCUGGGUGGCUCAGUUAAGCGUCUGACUCUUGAUUUUGGCUCGGGUCAUGAUCUCAUGGCUCACGAGUUUGAGCCCCGUGUAGGGCUGUGCUCUGACAGUGUUGAGCAUGCUUGGGAUUCUGUCUUUGUCCCUCUCUCCCUCUCUCUCUGCCACUCCCCCACACGUGCACACUCCCCCCCCACCCCUGACCAAAUAAAUAAAUAAACUUAAAAAAAAGAUAAAAUAGGAUUUGUUGAAUGGGUGAUGGAUAUUAACAAGGGCACUUGUGAAAAGCACUGGGUGUUACAUGUAGGUGAUGAAAUCACUAAAUUCUACACCUUGCCAAAAUGAAGCUCUCUACCCAUUAACUAAUAACUCCCUAUUUUCCUCUUCCCCAGUCCCUGAUAAACACCAUUCUAUUUUCUGUCUCUAGGAACCUGACUAUUCUAGAUGCCUCAUAUAAAUGGGACCGUUUCUAGUCAUUUUUAUAAAUGGGUCUUCUUAAAAAAUAUGAACUUAGCCUAAUGAAUAUGUAAUUCAGCAUCCUGAUUUCUUAACAUUUUAAACAUCUUAUAAGAUAUUAUAAACAUCUUUUUGUAUUGCUACAUCCUCUAUAUGAACAUACCCACAAAAGUUGGGCAUUAUCACAUUGAGUGGAUAUAUCAUUCAUUAUUAUUCCUCCAUAGUUUCAACUGCUUGCUAUUUUAAAGAAUGUGUUGAAAACAGUUCUGUGUAGAGCUUUUGUCAUAUUGAGGCUCACGGUCUUUAGGGCAGAUUCAAGAACUUAAUGACUGGCUUGAAGGGAAUGAGAACAUUUUCAGGCUCGUGAUCUACAUUACCGAAUGGCUAGGAAAAAUUUUCAGAUGAUGUCAUUGACAGCUGGGUGGGCUUCCUCUGGGGCUGUGAGGUCCUAGUCUCUUAGGACGGUGACCGCUUGUAGGGUUGAUUCAAGCACUGACUGUGGUGGUGGGAGGGGCAAGGAUAGUUCCAAAAUUCCUGUGUGGGAGAGGGUUAGACAUGCUGAUGUCUUCAUUAGGGGGGAAGCAGAACAUGUGAAACAAGCCCUGUUUUCCCUUUCAACGUGUGCUUUUUCGGAGGCAGCCUGGAGGUGUGCUGAUGGCGGUUAUGGAGAGUCUAGAGCCUUCUCCCACCCUAAACCACCUUUGGCUCCUCCAGCUGGUGGGAUGGGCACUAGUGACCUUUUAAAUCUUUCCCAUCUCUGUGUUUUUGUGAUUCCAGGGCUCUGCCACUGUGCAGGUCCACUGGCUGGACUCAUCCACUUUAGUUUUCUCAUGUCAGCGUGGGUCAUCCAAACCUCUCUUUGGUUCUGUCCCAAGUGUCACAGAGAGGUGGACCCACCCUCUCCCUUCCCAGGAAAGCCCGUGUUGCAAUGAGCACUCCUGUGCUUCUCCCCAGUGCUUUCUCGGUAGCACAAUCGGAUGACACUGCUCUAGCUGCCCUCAGCUGCCCUCCGAGAAGACGUCACAACCGCGAAAGAUCCCAAUCAGUCUGCUUUCUCCCUGUGGCACUGUGUGCUUUGGCUGCCUGGCCAGAAAGCUGGGCCUAUUUUUACCUAUCAUUCUGAUACUAUCUCGGGUAUAAUUGGAAUUGAGCUCUCAGUGUGGAAAUUCUUACUCAGAACACAAAGGAUUGAAGAGAACUCGGAGGCUGAACUCUGGAAGGACUCUUGCCCGACUCCUCUUGGCAGAGAUGGCUCUGGUUUCUCGGAGCGGUGGUAUGGCCAACAGGUGGGUGUUGCCCAGGAAAUUGUUUUUUCUGCUUUCUCAGUAGCUAUGGGCCAUGGGGAACACUGCCAUUUCCGGCCUUCUCUGCAUUAUUUGAUGAGAAUGCAGGUGAACUGCCCUGUGGUUUAAUUCCAAUGGCAGAGCAGUUAGCAUUUGCUGGUUUUUCUUGUCCCAGUGGGAACGCUGGUUUGCAUCUCACUGUACUUCCCUUGAGAUGUUGUGUGGGGUCCUUUAACCUGCAACGUGCCCCUCUGAGUGACGCCCACCCAGAUUCCAAUCAGAUCUAAACCAAUGGUCUCAGCCUUGAGAGCUACCUGUGUGUGUAAAGGCCUACAAGUGCUGCCCACACCAGCAAUAUCAGCUGAAGAGUGUUUUCAAGGGACAUCAUUUCAAUGAUCCGUGACAUCUGUUUCUUUUCUGAGUUUUUCCCUGCACAGCUAAUGCAAUGAUUGUUUUUAAAUUAGAACCUCUUUUUUUCUGUCAUUCCUGUUAUUUCUUAUGUGAGGUCGAUUCUAACAUAAUAGCAAACAGUGGACGCACAUUUCCUAGACAAAGUCAUGAUUUUAUGAAGACAGGAAAGGGCUUAUGAUAAUUUCUGUGAAAUCCAUGUUUGAUCGUUCUUCUCCUUUCUCAGCUGAGAGGUGAGUUCUGACAGUGCUCAGUACAAAAAAGAUAAGGUUGUGAUUUUCUUUUUUACAUUUUAACUAUUUUUAAAUCUUUACUAUGGAACCAAAGCAGGCAGAAGUGGAAUAACUCAACAUACCCUAGAUAGCUACCUCCAAGGCUCCGUGUUGAUCAACCUUUGGCCAAUUCUGCCUCUUCUGAUCUCCAUCCACUAGCUGACUCCAGAUUCCUUUGGAGCAUAUCUUAGACAUCCUGUCAUUUCACACCUAAGUUUUGUACUAUGUGGCUCUAGAAGAUAAACAUUCCCUUGAAAAGUCUAUCUCUACUUUUUAAAUGGAGAAACAUGUGGAACAUUUUCAGAGAGGAUUGAGAGAAGGGUGAUUCUCUCUUUAAUUAAAAAUUGAUUAAACUAAGCCACAUUAAUUGUUACUAGGACAGACGUAUUAGGAAUAGGAAUGGGAAUAGAUACAAUUAAAGUCAUUCAGAAGGAUAUGUUGUAAUUUUUUAGUCACUUGUUAAAAUCAAGGCUUUAUUCUGCAGACACAAUUAUUCACUUGGUUCAGAAUUCUAUACGUUGAAUGUAUCUCACCAGAGGUAAGCUCAGGUCCAACUGAUUGACUUUUCCAUUUGCGUGACGGUGGGUUAGUCAUGUUAGCUUUGUCUAGAUGUCUCCAAGCAUUUUUGACUGCAUACUUCUAUCAGUAAAGAAUUAAGCGUGUAUCCAUAGUAUGAAUUAUUAUUUAGAAAUCGUCUGUAUACUCUAUUAUGGUGGUAAGUGAAGUAUAUUGUAAACCACAUAUAAAAUAGAAACUAAAGAAUUAACUGAUAAAUAGGUUAUCUGCAGGUCUAAUAGGUACAGCAGGUCUAAUAUUUUCUUCCUGCCCUCAGUGGAUAUUCUUGUGCGUGCCCCAAUUUGAAGACAACUGGAGAAGGCAGUGCUAGGCAAUAUACAUCAUAGCGAGGUAUCAGUUGUCAAGCAGGACUGCCUGGGUUUGAAUCCUGGUGCCACUGCUCCUUAGCUGUGUGAUUUUGUACACAUCACUUAGCUCCUCUAAAUCUGUCCUCUCAUUUGUAAUACGAAGGCAUUCAUGCCUUAUAGGGUAUCGUAAGGUUUAAUCCUUGCACAGUGCCCAUUGUGUGGUAAGCAUUCAAUACAUUUUAGCUAAUAAUGAUGACGAUGAUAAUGCAGUCCUAGAGGGCUGGACCAAGGUUUGGCUUCCUCUUUUUACAGAGUGCCUGGCACACACUUAUUGGCACUUAUUUCAGUGUUCGGUGUGCUGAUGGUGGUGUGGGUGAUGACAGUUACGGGGAUGGUCAUACUGAUGAUCAAAAACACAGCGUACGUAUCGUCACUCGCUCGAUUUUAUUUGCAUUGAUGAUGAUGGUGACAGUAUGAUGACGGUUACAGGGACGGUCACAUUGAGAGUGGUGAAUAUGACCAACAGCAGAAGCCCUUUUGCAUUCCCUACUGGAACUACAUCAUCAGUGUUUGCGUUUGUCUUUCCUAAGAAUUUACCCAUCUGACAAAUAUGUUGACUAACUUGUUUUGCUGUCUCCCUUCCUGGCCUCUCUGCCCUGUUGAUCUGUUGUGCUGUUCUGCCCUCCUCUUGUGCUCUCGUGUCUCCAUCUCUCUGUAGAGCCUGCUGUUCCGCUUGCCCACACACAGGUCCAGGAGACGAACCAGCCCCUGUUCAGUGCAGGGCCAUUUCUUUGCCAGUGGCUAUUUGGUUCUCAUGUCAAAGAACCUGCCUAUCAGCCCCUGAGGACUAUGGGUAGUGCUAGAACCUAUGAAGUGUGGCCCUUUAUGGCCUUAUGCAAGACCACAUGGCCUUUAUGGUCUGUGUCUUUUCAGGUGUGAAAAAGGGCAGAUGUGGUAAGAAGUAAACUCAUCUGCUUAUCUGCAAAUGCCCAAACCUGAUCAGGCAGAGGUUCCUGGAAUGCUCUUGUUCAGGAAGUCUGCCAUCCAGCUCUGUGCCUCUGCUUCCCAAGGGAGGGAAGAGGGCUCCUGAGAAGGGCGGGAUCCCCACUGGCAUGAGAUCUCAAGAAAGCUCUUGAGGAAGGACUUUCUCCUUUCCAAAAUCAGGACAAAGGAAGGCUAGGGUUGUGCCCAGUGGUGCCAAAAGUAAGGGUAAUUACAAUAAAAAUUUGCCUUAGGCUCUUUUUCUGGGGGCUUGUGUUUUUCCCAUGAACCUCGUUGGCUGGGCUUUUGGGAGAUAUGCCCCACCCCCUCCAGGAGUGGUUCAGAUUUUAGAUGUUUAAGAAAUUCAAAGGUCUGAGGUUGACAUUUCAUUGGAAGCACCCUGAACUCUUUCAUUCUAGAUAUUGACUUGGGAAUUAAUCUCUUUAAGGAAUUCCAAAUAGAGUGGCACCUCAUACCCUUCCAUUUUUAAUCUUUGUCUAUAGACCAUGUGGUAUCUACCUCUAAUAUUCUGAAAAUGAGUACUGACACCUAAGAAUAUAUGUUUAUCUCUUCAUACUAAUUCUUCAACUGGGAUGUUGGUCGUGUCUCAAAAUGACUAGAGUAUGGAGUAUGUGAUUCUGUAGAAUGAGAUUAUGUGCUCCUAAAACACUAGCUAGGGGGGAAUUGCUCUUUAAUACAAAUAUUCUAAUGAUUUCAAAUACUUUAUCAGUUUGAUACUUAAUUCUAAAUAUUCUUGGGGUUAAAAUACACUUAUCUAAUAACCAAACAGUCAUGCUAUUCCAAACAGUUUGGGAUUGCCUUCCCAUCCACGGUUUUGGAAGUUUCCUUGGCUGGGAGACUCUAGGCCAGGGAAGAGAAAUAUAUUUCUAUUUGUGACUCUGAUGAAGUGGACUGCAUCCUUUGGAUAGUCACUCGAACGAGCACUGGUCACGGGACUGAUUUCUCAAGCAGAGGUGAAAAUGAAAGCCAGGCUGCUGUGUGGUUGGAGAGAUGGAGCUUGCGUCCAUACUUAGGAGCAUUGUUUGGGCUAAACAUGGCGGACUUGCCAGUCACAUGUAUCAUCUCCCUUUUCCAAAUCCAACCCCUGAUGAUAGGAAAGAAUAAAAGAGAAGAAAUAUGUCCAUCCACUGAUGAACAGAUACACAAAAUAUGGUACAUCCACACAAUGGAAUAUUAUCCAGCCAUAAAAAGACAUGAAGUCUACGUCUACAAAAUGGAUGAAUCCUGAAAAUGUUACACGAAGUGAAAGAGACCAGUCACAAAAGGUCACAUAUUGUACGAUUCUGUUUAUUUGAAAAGCCCCAAAUAGGCAAAUCCAUAGGAAUAGAAAGCAGAUUGGUGGUUUCCAGGGGAUGGGACCGAGGAGAAGCAGGGAGUGACUGCUUAAUAGGUAUGGGGUUUCCUCUUGGGGUGAUGAAAAUGUUUGGAACUAGAUAGAGGUGAUGGUUGCACAACAUUGUGAAUGCACUAAUUGCCACUGAAUUGUAUAAUUUAAAAUGGUUAAAAUGAAUUUUAUGUUGUGUACAUUUUACCUUGAUAAAAACAGGUAAAGGGGCAAGAGGAGACAUCACUGCAGACAUUUCCCAAAUUUUGGAAUAUGAAAGACAUUUGAAGAGAUGGCAAUUGACUUAACAGAGUGGAGGAAGCAAUAACCUAAGUGACUAAGGGAGGAGGAUAGGGGGUUGGUACCAAUGAGAAAUGAGCCACAUUACUGGUCAGAACCAUAGAAAGGCUGAGGCUUGGAGAUACCAGGUGCUACAGUAGGUAGCAAUAAACAGGGAGAUUUCUUGAAAUUCAAGAUAUAGAGAAUUUGGAUGCUAAGGUCUUUUUUUUCCCCUAUGCCAAGCAGCCAGGAGAUCCUUUCCUGCCCCUUUCUCUGAGUUGGAAAGACCUAGCGACAGUCAAGCGCAGGGUGGGAUCCCAUCUUAAAAACAAGGGAGAAGUUCAAGUUGACAGGUGAGACACCAGCUGUCUUUAGAAUGCCCACAGCCAGGAUUGAACCAGCCCCUUAGAUUAUCCUGCCCCAAGAAGAAGACUGGAAUAUUCCUUUCCAAAGAAACUGACUAGUCCAAAAGAACACACCCAUUUUCUUAAUAAGACCCUUAUUUGGGGGACUUCCUCAGUAAAAAGGCAGCUCACUACAUCAGCUCCUGGGGAUGCUUCUGGUCAGGGUCCACCAUGAACCCAGACCUUCUAAUUGGUUGUAUGAUACUUUAGUUUUAAUUAUGGAAAGACAGGCUCACUUUUGAUGAAGCUUCUAAUAUGAAAGAGAGAAUAAAAUAAAGAGGAAAAAAAAAACCUUGGUAGUAUAAACAGAAAAGAAACUUGGCAGGAAAAGAAAAUAAGUUAAAAAACAGAAACUUUUAUAUAAUUAAUACCCUUUGGAGACAUAAAGAGAAUAUUGCAUCCCUGAAAGAAGUAAAAGUUGCUAUGGAAACAGAUAAAUUAGACGAGAGAAAAGAGCUCCUGGAAAUUUAAAGAGUGAACAACAAAAUAAAAGUGAAAAAUUAGACAUAAGAUUGGAAGAUAAUGUUGAAAGAAUAAAACUUCAGAUUUCAAAAACAAUGCAGAAUCAACUUGGGAGGUGGUGUGCAACCAGAAGAAAUUUCUGGAGACUAGAGGAAAGGGAGGGAUCUAUUAUGUGUCUAUGAGUCUACGUGUCUAUGUGUCUAUCUAUCUAUCUAUCUAUCUAUCUGUUUUUAAAGUAGGCUUCAUACUCAACCCAACAUGGGGCUUGAACUCACAACCGUGAGAUUAAGACCUGAGCUGAGGUCAAGAGUUGGAUGUUUAACUGACUAAGAAAAGUUUCUGGAACAAAAGGCCAUGAGGUUUCCAGAUCGAAAAGAUUCACCUUGUAUUCAGAAAAAAACGGAGUAAAAAAACUCCAUUGAAACCCAUUCCUGUGAAAGUUUAGGACAAGAAGACCCAAAAUUUUUCAGAGGGUAAAGUGGGUCAUAUACAAAGGACAUGGACCCAGAAUGGCAUCAGACUUCUCUUGGACAAUACUGAAUGCUGAAAGAAAAGAAGCAAUGCCUUAAAAUUUCCAAGAAAAAAAAAAAGAUUUUUAACCGGAAUUCUAUAUCCAGUUCAACCAAAAUCCUGAUGUAAGGGAGGAAUUAAAAUAUUAUCAGACAUAGAAGGAGUCUAAAAUUUUACCUCCUAUGCACCUGAUCUCAGAAGGUAUUGGAAAAUCUACUUCGCCAAAACAAGGACGUGUAUCAACAAAGUAGAAGUGGGAUCUGGGAACCAGGGAUGCCACACAAUACAGGGCACAGCCAGGGUGUGGGGGUGGGUUCCCAAGAACAUGGCAAGGAUGAAUGGUUCUUGAAUGGACAGCACCAGAGGAAGAAACAAAAGGGAUAUUUGACCACCUUAAGCAUUUGGAAAUAAUAUUCAAAAUCUGUAUAACAGAUAUGUCACAACAUUUGUAUAAAAACAGAAGACACAAAGAAAGUCAGACAAAUGAAGAGUAAACAAGGCAAUGCUUAACUCCCGGAAAAACAAAAAUAAAAAAAGCUUUCAAGAAAGGAAAUGCAGGCUUCUUGGUUGGCUCAAUCAGUUACGUGUCUGACUCUUGAUUUCUGCUCAGGUCAUGAUCCUGGGGUCACAGGAUUGAGCUCCACGUUGGGCUCUGUGUGGCGUGUGGAACCUGCUUGGGAUUGUCUCUCUCUCCCUCUCUCUGCCCCUCCCCUGCUAAUGCUCUCUCUCUCUCUCUUUCUCAAAAUAGGUAAAUAAACAUUAAAAAAAAAAAAAAGAAAGGAAAUGCAGUCAUGGUAUACCACCUGACUAAUUGGUGGAUAAUAAUGUGCAUAGUCACUGAGUUUGGUUUGACCCCAAGUUGUGACAUUUUGGAGGAAAGGGCAGGGACAGUGGGGUAUAAAAGAGCUAAAUCUAAACCUUCAUUGGUGAUAAUGUCUAAAAUUGACGUCGAAUGAUGGCAGCACAGGGACAUUAUUUCGAGAUGGGGUUGCAAAUACCAGAAGAAAAGCCAAGAGAGGCAAAAGUGCUUGCCUCUGCAAACAGAACUUAGCAGGUGAUGGCGGGGGGAACGGGAACUUGCUGUUUCCUUGUUGUUAUCGUGACCCUUUUGGUGCCAUCAACCAGGUUUUCAAUAAUGUUGAAAAUGUUAAAAACAUGUAUUUGUAGAAAAUAAAAACUAGUUUAAAAUAUUUGCCAUGGUGGAGGGUGUCAAUGGAUGAAUGCCAAGACUAGACAGUUUUGGUGACUUCCCUGUAUUCGCACCCCGAAUGAGCCCAGAUAAAAAUGAGUGGCAUUUACUGGACAUUUAUAAUAUACUAGCCUCUCCGCACCGUCUCCAUGAAUGUUUACCACAACCCUGUGAAGGAGGCUCUUUUCCUCUCUUCUUUCCCAGAUGAGUAAACCCAGGGAGGGAAGUGACUUGCCCAGGGCCCUGCGGCCAGCAGCCUGGAGGUGUGCAACUAGGAUUCAAACCAGGUCUAGGAGACCCCUCGCCCCGUGUGCUCGCCAUUGCAGUUUUGCCACCUGGCCUUGUCCUCUGAAUCUUCGCGAAGUGCUCUUAGGGCCUAAUUGUCUGCACCCUGUGCUGAAUGCUGUAAAGGUGAAUCACGGUGGGCACAGCGCACCAUGACUCCUGUUGAGUGUAACAGGUCAGAAAUCAUGGAAAUGCACACCCAUUGCCCAUUGACUCUGUGCUGGAACACAGUGAGGGGGUGGUGCAGAGAGCGCCUGGGGGCCUGUAAUUUGGGGGACCCGGAUGUGAUUCAGGGGUGGGGUACUGGUGGGCAGGGACGUGAGAGAAAGAAAGCUGCUCUUCUGGGCCAAACCUAUCCCUCAUCACUUAAUCCAUCACCAUGGAACUCCCCUUUCCCCUUCUACAAUCUCCCUCCAAGACCCACUUUCCAGUUUCUCUUUGUGUUCAAAUCUGAUGUUCUUUUUCGAGGAGUUGAUUUCAUUUUCCUCCUGUAUAAAAUAUAAAGAUGGACUUACUUUUAUUUUUUAUUUUUUUAAUUUUUUUUUCAACGUUUAUUUAUUUUUGGGACAGAGAGAGACAGAGCAUGAACGGGGGAGGGGCAGAGAGAGAGGGAGACACAGAAUCGGAAACAGGCUCCAGGCUCUGAGCCAUCAGCCCAGAGCCCGACGCGGGGCUCGAACUCACGGACCACGAGAUCGUGACCUGGCUGAAGUCGGACGCUUAACCGACUGCGCCACCCAGGCGCCCCUAGGUGGACUUACUUUUAAUUGAGAAAUACAGAAAAGCAAAAAUAAAUCACUCAAACACUUGGCCACAUUUCCCCUUUGUUUCUUUAAAAUUCAUUUUUAUUUGUUUUUUAAUCAAACAAAUACACAUUUAUAGCUUAAACAUUCAAAUAGUGCCCCAGGGUUAUAACGGCCAAGCAUAGUCCUUCCUAGCUCAGCACUCCAGUUUUUUCGGGUGCUGCUUCUGGUCAUUAUCUCCAUUGUUCCCAACACGUUUAAAUGACUUUUCUUAUUGAUUGAUUGAGUUUAUUGCCAUUCAAAAUGAGGACUUGGAUCAAUCACUUAUGGCGCCUUCCUCUCGCUGUGCCCACUUUCCCCAUCUGUAUUCACAGUCCUGCCCGUCUGCCAGGGAGUAAUAUCACCAUGUCGAGUAGUCAAGAGUCACUAUUUAUGCGAUAACUACGCAGAAUGUUCACAGCUGAGCCACUUAAUGUACUAGGAGGAGAUAUUAUUUCUUUCACCAGUCCUCAUCCUCUACCCCCGCCCUCCACCUCCCCCAGCAUGCACAAUUACAUUUUUCCUUUGCUUGAUCUUCCAAGUACCUGUCACUAAUUUUUCUCUCAACUCCUUUCUCCAAAUCUCAGUAAGACUUUUUUUUUUCCCUCUCAAUAAGAUUAUCUCAUCGGGUAGCCUACCAGUUCCACCUUUUUCCCUGUAGACGUCUCUCCCAGAACCUUCCACUUGGUGGUCAUCCCUACUGGCUGCUCCACUGUCUUCCUGGGAUUUCUGACCUUGCCUCCAUCAUCCCAGGAAUUCUGGUCUCACUGUUCCUGUGUUCGAUCACUUGUGUCCUGGAUCCCAUGUUUUUCUGUCUCUUGAGUUUAUUCCCUUCGUUGGGUCUAAUUCACCACCUACGAACUUCCUAAGAAAGACUGAAAGAUAAGUUUUUUGAAUUCUGGACUGAAUUUUGAAGUCACCAGCCCAGAAGCCUUUAUUGCUACACCACGAUUCCCCUUGCACUGUAGAUAGUCCCCCUUCUAUGUCCCCAGCUCGCCGUGCACCCAUCCCCCAGGACAACAGUGUUGAGUGUCCUCGUUUGGCACGAGGCCACUGCCCAUGCCCAGUAAGUGCCAAUCAACAGCACCUGUCUUAAUAAUACCUUAGCCUCAACACCCAAGGUUUCAGUUGUAUUAAUCACCUAAUAAAGAAACCUUCACAAGUGCUAAUUACUAGUCUAGUCUUCAUAUGAGGCCCAUUUAAAGAGGUGCCAUUUUAGAAGCUGUCGUGCUGACAGUCACUUAACAAACGUUUAUUAAAUGUCUACCAUAUACAGGACACCAUGAUAGAGCUUUAACAUUUAGUCCUCAUGGCAAUCCUGCGAAGUGGGCAUUAUUGCCAAUUCUAAGUGAGGGAACAGUUUCAGAGAAUAAAGCUUCUUCAGCUAGUCAUUCACCACAUUUACUGAGAACCUACUAUGUGCUGGGUGAGGAGGAUACUGUGAGGGGCAGGCCCACAUGUCUCUGGCCUCUCGGAGAGUCUAGGUGAGCCAAAGGAGACAGACAUCAAGCAAAUAAUUUUACAAAUAGUUUAUUAAAUACAUUCGAGACAAGUGCCAUGAGACAGAAGUAUGAAGUGCCGUGUCCCCUAAUCUGGGGAAUUGGAGGCUGUUUCCUGGAGGCAGCAUAGUAGGUCUAUAAGAUUAGUGAGAGUUGGCCAAAUGAAAUGAGAUGUCAGGAAGAGAGAGAGGGAGGGAAGAGCAGGAGCUAAGCCUCAGGGGUGAGAAGGGGUUUGCAGAAGUGAGGAACUAACAGGCCAGUGUGACCAGAACCGAGCGGAAUGAUGUGGCAUAAAGCUCAGUGGGGACACGUCAAAGAGCAGAUGGUGAAGGGUUUGUGUGCUGGGACCUGAACACUCUCUCUGAGGGACCUGAACACUCUCUCUUGAGGACAAAGGGAGGCAAUGAAGAGUUUUGAUCAAUGGGCAUGAAAUGAUGAGAUUUAUUCUAUAAAAACUCCUUGUGGUUGUUAUGGGGACACUACAUUGGAGGAGACAAGAGUGGACAUGGGGAGAGCCAAGGAAAGGCUGCUCCAGAUGUCACAACCGUGCUGACAGCUGCUUGCAUUAAAGGGGGUGCCGGUGGAGAUGAGGACAAGGGAGGGACCCAGGACGUCUGUGGCAAGAGGCUUGUUCAAGGUCACAUGAAGCAGAGUCGGGAGCUAAACCCAGCCCUUGUGGUGGAAAGGCCAGCACUCUUUCUGAUACAUGAGAACCGCUUCUUAUUCUGUGCAAGGGUGAGAGGGUACACACGCAGAUUCUCUCCCUGGGCACUGGUUGGGGAUGCCAAGUUAUAACCCAAUAGUCGUGAAGAAUCUCUUCCUUGUGCAAUGAUAGAGCUCCUAAAUUAGGCUGUGUAAUAUGUCCGUCAUCUGGGAUAGAAGAAGAAAACAGUCACUGCUUUUAAGAGCGUGCACAUCCUAAUAAAGGCUAUAGGAAUGUAAACAGGGUCCUCAAACAAUACUAAACACGAGGGAGUUGUAGAAGCUCUAGAAUCUCACACAGCUCUUAAGAUCACAAUCCCAGUGCUACACUUUUUGACUCUUUGACUACACUACACCCAGCAAUAUCUUUGUGGUCCUGGAACCAUACAUCCUCCUAAACAGACUUAAAAUAACAUCACUCUUGGCCUUACCCUGAUUCUCAAUCCUGGCCAGAAACUGUGUUUCUCGGAAACAAUGGUGACAUAUUUUGAAAUUAUUUUAUUAUGUUUUAAGUCUCACUGUUCUCCUAAAUAAUUGAUCUUCAUGGAUUUAUUGAUCAAUGCUUAAAAACCUCAUUAAUGAACUUCUUGGGCACAGGACCAGUAGGUGUGAAGUUUGAGAAUUUAACCAACCAUAUGACCUAAAUUCCCUGCAACAUUCUUAGUUUCCAUACAUAAAAACCAUCUUUAGAACAUGUACCAAAUUUAAGCUUGAAAAUAGAAUUCACCUCCCAGGCAAAGUGUGUAGGAACUUAAGAGUACAGCUAACCUUUGAAAAAUAGGAGUUUGAACUGCAUGGGUCCACUUAUAUGUGGAUUUUUUUCCCGAUAAAUACAGUAAAGCACUGUGAAUGUAUUUCUCUUCUUAAUAAUCUUAAUAUUUUCUUGUCUGUAGCUUGCUUUAUUAUAAGAAUACAGCAUAUAAAGGAUGCCUGGGUGACUCAGUUGGUUAAAUGCCCAGCUCUUGAUUUCAGCUCAGGUCAUGAUCGUGGGAUUGAGACCCACAUAGGGCUCCAUGCUGACAGUGCAGAUCCUGCUUGGGAUUGUCUCUUUCCUUCUCUCUCUGUCCCUCCCACUGUCUCUCUCUCCCUCUCCAAAUAAAUAAAUAAACUAAAAAAAAAAAAAAAAACACACAGUAUGUAAUACAUAUAAACUAGAAAAUAUGUGUUCAUCAGCUGUUUAUGUUAUUAUGGCUUCUGGUCAAUAGUAGGCUUUUAGUAAUGUUUUGGGGGGAGUCAAAGUUAUAUGUGAAUUUUUGACUGUGCAGGAGGUCAGCACCCCUAACCCCCAUUGUUGUUCAUGGGUCAACUGUGUGUGUUUCCAAUGGAAACUCUGGAGUUCAGUUUCAAAAGGGAGGCAGAAACCCAUGGACCUAAGUUCCUAGACUAGGAAGUCUCUUGCAGAUGCCUUGAGAAUUCAGGUUGUGCCCUUUGGGGACACUCUCCUAGCUGCCAUAUGGAUGGGGCAGGGCUGAGUGAAAAAAAGUAUUGUUUAUGGAACAUGAUUUAUUUUCAAAGGUUGUAAAACUCCGUGUUACCUGGCCCAGGCCUUAAUGAAAUAGUUUGAAGAACACGAAGAAAGUACACAUGAAGUUCAGUGGCAAGCUGGUAAAUAUUUAUUGACCUAAAGAAUGUGCAAAUGUAAUUUAUAGAUCACAAAUGAUACAAUAAUCUUUAUUGUAAAUUCCUUAUAGCUAGUGGAUUCCCACAGAAUGCUUCUGAUUUUUGCUCUGGGCUCCUAUAUCCAGAGUGUAGCCAAUCUAUUAUUUCACUUGAUGAACAAACUCAGUACCCACAUGAAUGUGGGUUGAUAUAACAACAAAGCUGUAUGUCGGGUGUUCAAUCAUUUGUCAAUGAUAAGAGCAAGUUCUUUGCUGAACGAAAUGAUACUUUUCAAAUAUUGGAGGAAUACUUCCUCAGGUUUUUUUGCACCAUUCAUAAUGUAUUGAAUGUAUUCAACCUUUACAGUAAAGUACUGUAAAUGCACUUCUCUUCUUAAUCAUUUUCUUAAUGUUUUCUUUUGUUUAGCUUGCUUUAUUGUAAGAAUACAGUAUAUGAUACAUAUAACGUACAAGAUAUGUGUUCAUGGCCUGUUUAUGUUAUUAUGGCUUCUGGUCAGUAGUAGGCUUUUAGCGAUGUUUUUGGGGAGUCAAAGUUAUAUGUGGAUUUUUGACUGUGCAGGGGGUCGGCACCCCUAACCCCCGUUGUAGUUCAAGGGCCAACUGUAUGUGUUUCCAGUGGAACCUCUGGAGUUCAUUUUGAAAAGGGGGGCAGGAACCCGUAGAUCUCCAUAAACACAUUUGAAAAUUUAAUCAGCAUUAUUAACAUUUUUUUCCAUCCCUUUCUUAAAAGUCUUGACCAGGGACCAGUAAACUAUGGCCUGCAGGCCAAAUCCGAUCCCCCCAACCUCUCUCUGUAAAUAAAGUUUAUGGGAACAUGGCCAUGCCCCAUGGUUUCACAUAUCGUCCGUGGCUGUUUUUGUCCUACAGUGGCAGAAGUGAGUAGGUUAGGCAGAGACUGGCCACAAAGCCCAAAAUAUUUACUCUCUGGCCCUUUACUGAAUAGAGUUUGCCGACUCCAGGUUUGGAUAGUCAAUAAAACAGGAAAUCAGGCCUUGAUCCGGUGCUGUUUGCUGAUUUCUGUGGUAUAACUACUCCCACGGUGGCUAAUUUCACUCUUGCAAGGCGCCAUCACCAGCCACAGAGUCGGGAAGAUUGAACACCCAACAGCGGCUCUAGCUGUACGGCCACAGUACAUAGUACAUAACUUCAAGAGCAUCCAUCACGGUAAAAUAAUGAAGAGCUGAAGAGCUUUGAGUAUUUAUCUUUGUUUCUAAAUAUAAUCUAUUUAGUUAUGAUUUAUAUCAUUGAAUUUUUAGUAAUGGUUGUGUUUAACGACAAGUGGUCCUCAAAGUUUCGGAGCACGUAACGAUCCCUCGGCAUGAGCUGGUUCGAUUGCUUUCCUGUAGUGCCCAGCCAUCUUUUUCUCCCCCAUCUCUGGGGGACAUCCCCGUCUUCCCAGCACACCUGGCUCCUGAAGUGUCCUGUGCCCUUUUAAUGACCCUCUGGCUGUCCAGGGACCCCCGUUUUUCCUGUCUUUGAUAUCUUGCUCUCACACCGCCCCAUUCCCUCUCAUCUGCAUUCACAAUACUUUGAGUUCUGUAGGAGAACUGGUCUCAGAUAGCUGACAGAAAUUCACAACAAGGGAUAGCUGAUCAAAUCUUGGUGGUUGGGGCGCCUGGGUGGCUCAGCUGGUUAAGCGUCCGACUUCAGCUCAGGUCAUGAUCUCACGGUUCGUGGGUCUGAGCCCUGUGUCGGGCUCUGUGCCGACAGCUCGGAGCCUGGAGCCUGCUUCGGAUUCUGUGUGUGUCUCUUUCUCUGUCCCUCCCCCAUUCGCACUCUGACUGUCUCUCUCUCUCAAAAUAAAUACACAUUUAAAAAGUUGGUUGUUUCAAUAGGCCUGGAAAUGGCUGCAUUUAAAAAAAAAGAUUCUUGUCGACCCAAAGAUUCUAGAAUCUGAAUGUCUGGUCACACUGCAGGUGUAGGAAGUAUCUUUGGAAUUCUGGGGUGCCAACAUCUCUCAGUCCCGGGCAGGAGGUCAUCAUCUUCUCUACAGGGAAGCACUGGCCCAGACGUGCACCUGAUGGCUCUCAUUUCUCUAGACAACCUUUUCCUCUUCUCUCUUGGCUUUAGCCCUUACCCUCUCUCCCACUUGUCCUCUGUUUAAACCUCACUGUUGUGGCUGAGGUGAGGCAGGUGUUAUAUAGACUAGGCGGGGAGAGGAUCAAGAAAACUACAGCUGUUUGUGCUUAUCUAGAACCUUCGGCUCCUGCCUUGUGUGGUCGUGGCUGAUACUUGACAUAUCUGGUGUUUCGUCAGAAUUAGUGUGUUCUCUGUUCCGGCCAGCUCUGCCGUCUGGCACCUUGGCGUGUUGUGACGGGUAGAACUGCCAAUGGGAAGACAACAUAGCCAUUGAGAAGUAGGAGCUUGAGUGAGUCUAGGAGAUGGGGGGUGAGGGGGCGCUCCCAUACAGCCCUUAAGCUGGAGUGGGAGGACAUGGGAAGUCACGGCACAGAGUAUAAGAAGUGGGGUGAAAAUGCAGGAGGAGGGAGUUAGGUCAGGCUCUGGAAUGAUGGCAUUAACAAACAAACCAGAUGGAGGAAAAAGGCAUUUGUGUGUCAACACAUAUUUAUUGAGUAUCUUCCAUGUUUCAGGGCUUGUCUAGGCCCCGGACUACAGCCAGGGAAUAAAAGGAAGCCCCUGUUCUAGGUCGCUGACAUUUCUAGUGGGGUGGGACAGAAACAUGGCAGAAGGUAGCCUCAGAAGAACAGGAUGAGAGAUCAGGUGAGGAGCGAGAUUGUGGAGCGACCAUGGGGGCGAGAUAAGAAUCUCUUGGAAGGUUUUGAGCAGGGGGUGUUACAUUCUGACUUGUAUGUCAAAAUGGCAACUCUGAGUUGAUUGCUUUUCAGAAAGCCCAGGUAAGAGGCCGCUGCAAAGUCCAGGUACAGGUGGUUGGGUCACAAGGAGGUGGUGCGAAUCCACAAAUUCUGGACAUGCGGUGAGGACAGAUGGGUCAUGGGCUGUGAAGAGAAGCAGAGGAAUCCUGGAAAGACUCCAAAGGUUUUGGCCUGAGGAAGUAGAUGCAUAGGACUUCCAUUUACUGAGGUGCAAGGCAUAGGGAGGGUGGGGUGGGGGUUAGGGAGGAUCAGGAGUUUGGGGGUGGGCAUGAUAGUUUUGAUGGCUUAGUGGAUGAGGUGCAGAUGUUGAGUCGAUGGCUGCAUCUAUGAAUCUGGAAUGCAGAGGGAGAGGACGAUGCUGUUGGUAUAAGUCAAGGAAUCAUUUAAAGGCACGAGGCUAGGUUAACUAACCCAAGUGUCGAGGGAGAUUCGAUACAGAAGAGAACGGGUCUGAGGAUGGGGCUUUGGGUCUUGAUGUUCAGAGGUGAGGACCCAGCAAAGGAGAUCCUGUAUUUCUAAAAUGAGAAGGCAUGAAGAAUCCUCUUUGUCAGGGCAUUUACCCAAGGGUUACCUGGAAAUGGCCUAGGGGGUGGGGAGAUAAAAGGUCCUCCUGACAGUCCCCUGGACCCAGGCUGGUGGCCUGAGCUAUAGCGAGGAGCUCUGCUUCACCCCACUUUCUCAGAGAUGGUGACACCUGGCAAAAUUUCUCUAAGUCAAUUUUAUUGAUUUAUUUUUCUCUUGAAGUCAAUUUGAAAUUAAAAGGCACGUCAUAUGGCUUUCCAGUGUGUUCUACAGUGGAGCAAAUAACAAUAGGAUGUGGUAGCCACGAAAAGACUGGGUGCUUCUGAAGUUGUCAGGCUGGAAGAACAAGGAGCGGGUGAAUGCCGUCUUGCUACUCCCUAAGUAGAGAAGCCACAGAGGGCUGUGUUGGGAGCACUUUGUACCUUGCCUGGCCCACACUGGGUUAAAUAUCGUUUUCUCCUUCCAAGUCUCUGCUGACUGGUAGCUGUGUGACCUCAGGAAAAUUGCUUAACUUCUCAGAGCCUCUGUUUCCUCAUUGGUAAUGACUAUUCCCCCAAAAGGUGUUUGUAAAGAUUGAAUAAUUUUAUUUUUUUAUUUUAUUGUUUUAAAAUAUUUAUUUAUUUUUGAGAGAAAGAGAGAGAGAGAGAGCACACAGCAGGGGAGAGGCAGAGAGAGAGAGAGAGAGAGAGAGAGAGAGAGAGAAUCUGAAGCAGGCUCCAGGCUCUGAGCUGUCAGUACAGAGCCUGAUGUGGAGGUGAAACCCACGAACUUCUAGAUUAUGACCUGAGCCGAAGUUGGACGCUCAACUGCCUGAGCCACCCAGGCGCCCCAAGAUUAAGUAAUUUUAAAUAGAUUGAAGCCUGUAGUGAACUGCAAAGUUAUAUACAAAUACGAGGCAGAAGCGGCUGUGCCUAUAAGAAAAUAGCUCAAUUUACACAAUAAUAGAUUCUCACCCUUUGCAUAAAUACAGGAUUUCCAUACUCAGGUCACCGGAGCUGGCCUUCUUCAGCACGCAAGUAUUCCAAUUAGACAUGGAAGCACUCUCCACUAUUAUGUCAUAUAUUUCUUGUGGGCUCAGAGAGAGAAGAUGAGCUUACUAGUCAUGCCCUGUUGCCAUCACCGACUCCUGAGUUGGAAAUAUAAAGAAUUCUCAGCUCCCUCAUCUAUCUGUCCAUGCUCUUACCUCUGGUGUCCAAUCUGCCUCCUUUCUAUGCCGAUUGCCGGUUGAAAGUGCCUCUGGUCUUCCUCUUCUGAAUUCUGUGAAAUCAAUAAAAAGCAAGAGGCAGCAUGCAGGGUGAAGGUGAUCCUGUCUGUGCUGGCCUCAAUUAUGGAGUCAGUUUAAGCUCAAGUGUGGGGUGAGCAUAAGCCUGGCGGAGGGGGUGUAGGGAGGGUGAGGGCUGAAUUACAUAAAGGGUCAGGAGAUCUGCGUUCUAGCCGUGACAUUCACAAACCGUCUCUCUACAGCAUUUCCAUUAGUCGAAGGAAAGGAAUUGGAUCCCAGCUCUUCUAGCUCUUUUCUCUUUGGGACUCUGACUUCACUUGUUUGGAGACUCAGUCUACUUAUUUCAGCAUCGUUCCACUAGGUGGCGAUGUUUCCUUAACCCCCAAGCAAGUUUUCAUUCUGGGAAAAAAGCCGAGUUUCGUAGCCAGUUUUUUUUUUCUCCCGUGAAAGUGCGAAAGAAUGAUUCUCUCUCUCUCUCUCUCUCUCUCUCUCUCUCCCUCCCUCCCUCCCUCCCUCCCUCUCUCUCUCUCUCUUUUUUAAAAUAUAAGAGGGGAGCCUGGGUGGCACAGUCGGUUGAGCGUCCGACUUCAGCCAGGUCACGAUCUCGCCGUCCGUGAGUUCGAGCCCCGCGUCAGGCUCUGGGCUGAUGGCUCAGAGCCUGGAGCCUGUUUCUGAUUCUGUGUCUCCCUCUCUCUCUGCCCCUCCCCCGUUCAUGCUCUGUCUCUCUCUGUCCCAAAAAUAAAUAAACGUUGAAAAAAAAAAUUUAAAAUAUAAGAAUGAUUCUCCAAAGCUGGGGACGAAAGAAGGAACUUUCCUUCUGAACACCUCAGGCAGUUUAUGCUGGAAACAGACAGGGCCUCUGUUUAGAGAUUCCUCCUCUCUGCUGGGAGUGGGAACUCAGGCUAGAGUUUUGCAUUCUGUGAUUGCACAAGGGCUGGGGGCGGCGGAGGGAGGGGAAGAGGCGGGGGCUGGGAGACGUUGGAAACGCUGGGUCCUAGGGAGGUUAGGGGGCGGUGGACGGUAGGCACGAGCUCUGGGCCCGCGUGAGCCCUGCAAGACUCUGCCCGGAGAAGCGCACUGGAUGCCAACUUUUCCGGGCUCCGCAGGAGUAGGCAUUGCCAGAUGCUCCCACCAGGGGCUAGGACGGUCCUCCCAGAAUCGGACUGCUUUGCUCAUGAAGGUCAGAGAUGCACGAGGGCAGCAUGAAGCCCAGCCUCCUUCUCAUGCAGAUGGGGAAGCUGAGGCCCAGAGCGGGUCAGUUCUCCUAAUGCUACCUCCCAGCCAAAUUACUUUGUCCUUACACAUUUCAAAUAGACUUGCCAACUGUCUCAUCUUGAGCGUGCAGCUAGCGCAUCUAGUAGUUAAUUAAGCCUGCGAGCCUCCCACCCGCCGAGCCCUUGCACCGUGCACACCAGGACAUACUGCACCGGAAGAGUUGGGGUGAUUUGCUCAAAGACCUCAAACAGAACACCAAUCCAGUGGGGGAGACAACUCAUUUAAAGCAACUGCUUCUUAACCCGUAGAACAGAUCUCAUAGUAGGGUCCAUUUGUUUAUUUGCGUUUAAUAAUAAUGUAAUAAUAGCGAACUUUUAUUCAGUGGUUCCUAUGGACUGGGCCCUGUGCUAAGCACUUAGCAUCAUUGUAUCUAUCCUAUAGCAAUGUCAGCAAAUCUGUGAGGCAGCUAUCGCUAUCUAUUUAAAUUUUUUUUAAUGUUUAUGUACUUUUGAGAGAAGGCGAGAGUGGGGGAGGGGCAGAGAGAGGGAGACACAGAAUGGGAAGCAGGCUCCAGGCUCUGAGCGGUCAGCACAGAGCCCAACGCGGGGCUCGAACUCACAGACCGCGAGAUCGUGACCUGAGCUGAAGUCAGACGCUUAACCGACUGAGCCACCCAGGCGCCCCUGCUGUCUAUUUAUUAUAGAGGUUCAGAAAGGUUGAGUAACUAGCUUAAAGUCACACAGCCGGAAGGAGCAGAGCCAAUAGUCACACCCUAAUUUCCCUAAGUCAAGCUUUGGUCUUUUAGCCUCCACAUUGUGCUUCAGGACGCUGUCCCCCAUUUUUAGGAUCUGAUACAGAAACUUACCGGAGUUUCUGGAGGACCAGUCACUAUCUCAUCAUGUUCCUGUUGUGACAUGAAGGCUCCGUGGUAGCAAGCCAGCUUAGGGCCUAGAGACUUGGUGACAUCAGUGUCACAUCUGCAGGACACUCAGAACGCGAACGCACGACAUGAGGAGAGAUGCUCCCAAAGGAGGCUGUUGGCACCAGGAUCCAAGAAGCAGCGAGAAUCUGUGUUUGUUUGGAGGUGUUCCCACUACCCGUGAAGGCAGGGAUAGUCGGCAGUGUGGUGCCUGAGGAACAGCCACAUGACACCGGAGGCUGCUCUAGGGACCGUCCUCCUCCGUGCUGGGCUCAGAGUGUGGCAUUUAGUACGCAUCACCUCACCUGGGACUCCUGGCGGCGUGUUGCCCCAGGGACCACUUUGUCCCCACCUUACCAGGGGCAAUAUCUCAAAUACAGGAAGUUCUCCUCAACAAACUGAUGCCAGAUACAGAUAGCCUUCAGAAAUCCAGGUUUGCGUGUUCUCUCAAAAGGGCACGAAAUUGAAAUACUUUAUUAAGUUGUGGGAUAACAACCAGUUAUCCCGGAGGUGCAGUUACUGUUAUAGAAAAAGGGACGAGGAUUUCCAGCCUGACAGAUUUAGAUUCCCCGGCUCAAUAACCACGGGACCUUGGGCAAAUUACCUAACCUCUUUGAGUCUCAGUUUCCUCAUUUUCUAAAAGGGGGCAAUAUUGCAUACGUCCCAGGGUUACAGUGAUAGUCAAUGAGAUGAUGUAUGUGAACUGCCUGGUGUAUUUUGUGCAACGUCGUAAGUGUUCAGUAAAUACUAAUGAUGACGAUGAAGGUGGUUACUGUUAAUGCCCUUCCAGCGAGCUGCCCACCCUUAUUCCAGAUCCUUUGUGACCACUGCUGGGGACUUUAGAAUCUCUGAACCCACCGAAACCCCGCUUAUCCAGAGGGCCUUGCCAUUUCUGCCUGCUGAUGGCUCAUUUGUCUUGGGGAUGACCUUCAUCCUCCACAUUCCCAUUCCAUGGUUUGCCAGAAUCCAGCAUUUAGGCAGUGAAUUCUCAGGGCUGUAGGAGCUAUGGUCUAUGAGGAGUUUACUACCUGUGCCCAAUAAAUGUUCAAUGAAUAAAUAAGAGCCAAUAAAACUGUAAAAGCAAGAAUAAAAAUGAGUAUCCUUAUAAGCACUUUAGAUCUUAAAAGGUCUUUAUAUUCGGCUGCUCGGAGUCAAACUUGUAUCCAAUAAAGAUUUUACAAAGGGUCUGGAGUUGCACCACCAAAGGAAGGGGGAGGCUCCAAUAUCCAUCCCUGGCCGGAUGAACAGCCACCCAGGGCGGGGCCAGUGGCCUUGCGUCUCCAGGUCUGAUAAACUCCAGGAAAUACAUUCAGGCCAAAGUAUAUUUCCUAUCAGUGGAAGAAGACCAGAAAUGGAAGAGGGAGACAGGGAGGAGACCUCCCAAGGGCACCUCACUCCAACACUAGGGACUAUGAAUCUACAACAGGAAGGCUUUAAAAAAGUCGUGUCAGUCUGUCUUGAUGAUGUUCUAGUAGCUAAAUAGAAAGGAGCCAUGAGGACGGCCACAAAGACCAUCAUAUCUCACCUCCAUCCACCCACCACAUUGCCUGAAAUGUUACCAUUAGGAUUCUUUUCCUUUGGGUUUCCUUUGAGUUUUGAGUUAACAAGUAAGAGUAAUGUCUGGAAAAUUCUUAUUUUACAUCCUCAACUUUUGGAUUUUCUCUUCUAGAUCAUAAAGACAAACAAUAGCAAGUAACUUCUUAGUGUUUUUUCCUUCUUAUUACAAAAGAGAUCCACAUUCAUCAUAAAAUAUUUGCAAAAAGAGAUAAGCAAAAUUAAGGAAAUAAAUUCAGCCUAUAAUGUAAUUUCCCAGGGAUAGUGAUUAUUAAAAUUUAGGUAUUCCCUUCUGCCAUUUUCUUUCUUUUUUUUUUUUUUUUUAAAUUUUUUUUUUUCAACGUUUAUUUAUUUUUGGGACAGAGAGAGACAGAGCAUGAAUGGGGGAGUGGCAGAGAGAGAAGGAGACACAGAAUCGGAAACAGGCUCCAGGCUCUGAGCCAUCAGCCCAGAGCUUGACGCGGGGCUCGAACUCACGGACCGCGAGAUCGUGACCUGGCUGAAGUCGGACGCUUAACCGACUGCGCCACCCAGGCGCCCCAACGUUUAUUUAUCUUUGAGACAGAGAGAGAGACAGAGCAUGAACGGGGGAGGGUCAGAGAGAGAGGGAGACACAGAAUCGGAAACAGGCUCCAGGCUCUGAGCCAUCAGCCCAGAGCCUGACGCGGGGCUCGAACUCACAGACCGCGAGAUCGUGACCUGGCUGAAGUCGGACGCUUAACCGACUGCGCCACCCAGGCGCCCCAACGUUUAUUUAUUUUUGAGACAGAGAGAGACAGAGCAUGAACGGGGGAGGGGCAGAGAGAGAGGGAGACACAGAAUCGGAAACAGGCUCCAGGCUCUGAGCCAUCAGCCCAGAGCCUGACGCGGGGCUCGAACUCACAGACCGCGAGAUCGUGACCUGGCUGAAGUCGGACGCUUAACCGACUGCGCCACCCAGGCGCCCCUNUUUUUUUUUUUUUUUUUAAAUUUUUUUUUUUCAACGUUUAUUUAUUUUUGGGACAGAGAGAGACAGAGCAUGAAUGGGGGAGUGGCAGAGAGAGAAGGAGACACAGAAUCGGAAACAGGCUCCAGGCUCUGAGCCAUCAGCCCAGAGCUUGACGCGGGGCUCGAACUCACGGACCGCGAGAUCGUGACCUGGCUGAAGUCGGACGCUUAACCGACUGCGCCACCCAGGCGCCCCUGCCAUUUUCUUUCUUAAUGAAACUUUUUUUCCUAUGAAAUUUAAUAGAAUACAAUGUACCUCUCUUUUCCUUUAUAUUUAACAUUCCUUAUUUCUUACUUAGAAAACCUUUUCCUGCGUUAUGAAAAAUUCUCCUAUAUUUUCUUCUAAAUGUUAAUAAUUUGUAGUUUUAUACAGUUGUUGCCUUUCAGAUAAAGUUAGCAAUCUACCUAGAUUGACAUCUGUGGAUGGCAUAAGGUAGGGACAAGUUCUAUUUUUCGCCCCAAAUGGAUAUCCAGGUGUGUAUCGAGACCAUUCUUUCCCUACUACUCUGCAAUUUCACUUUUUGUUGAAAAAUCAAUGGUCCACGCACGGUGGCUCUCUUUCUGGGCGCUCCUGUGUUCCAUUGGACUGUCUGUAUGUUGGACAAGACAAGGUGGGCUAUGCUUUGUUUUGGGUAACGAAUAACCCCAACAUGUCAUGGAUUAACAUACUAAAGUUAUUGUUUUUCUUUACUAGCAGAUCACUGGUGAUACAGAAUAUGCGUCAGGGCAACUGUCCUUCAUGAAUGAAGUCUCUGCAUCAUCGGGAGCACUCUCUAUCCCAAGAAGAGAGACUUGGGUCUCUCAUCAUCUCAACGGCACUCAUCAUUCACUUCCUCUUACAACCCAUUAGCCAGUGACUCUCUCAGUAAGAGUUAGACUCAUGAGCAAAGGGCUGUGAAGUGCUGUCCGCCAUAUGCCUGGAAGGGGAGGCUACCAGAUAUUGGAAAACACGAGUUAUGCCUACCUUCAUCUAUACCAUUGACUGAAAGCGCUGGUCUUAAUCAUUUUUAUAGUAAGACUCCGUACCUAACAGACGAAAGACUCCGAUGCUGUGUUUCGACUUCAAGAAGGCCUUGGCUCGUCUUAGACCUUGGCAAUUCCAUACAAAUUGUAGGAAGUGUUUGUGAAGUUCUGAAAAAGAUCCCGAAUUCACAGCUGAAUCAAGGGAGAAUCGACACUGAAAAUAUCAAGUGUUCUAAUUCAGUAACAGAAUUUCUCUCCUUUAAUCCAGGUCUUCUUUAGUUUCUUUCAAUAAUGUUUUAUAAUGUUUAAAAAAAUUUUUUUUAACAUUUAUUCAUUUUUGAGAGACAGAGACAGAGUGUGAGUGGGGGAGGGGCAGAGAGAGGGGGAGACACAGAAUCCAAAGCAGGGUCCAGGCUCCGAGCCAUCAGCACAGAACCAGAGGCAGGGCUUGAAAUCACGGACCACAGGAUCAUGACUUGAGCUGAAGUUGGACACUUAAUGGACUGAGCCACCUGGGUGCCCCAAUGUUUUAGAAUGUUUUGCACAGAGGUCUUAUACACCUUUUGUUAGAUUUUCCCCUAAAAUUUGGAUAUGUUUAAAUCCUAGUGUAAAUGUUAUUUUCAAAGUUUUUUCCAUUUUAUAAAAUCUGUGGUUGAUAGGGGCACCUGGGUGGCUCAGUUGGUUUUAACCAUCCAACUUCGGCUCAGGCAAUGAUCUUGCAGUUCACUAGUUCGAGCCCCACGUCAGGCUCAGAGCCUGAAGCCUGUUUCAGAUUCUGUGUCUG